rnacentral:lncRNA from 1 species
UUUUUUUUUAUUUUCUGUUUUUUGCACAGGUUACAAAAUGUAUAAUUUGACAAAAUAUAGACAGCACAUAUCAACAACAGAUUCAUCGAAUACAAUAGAAGAUUAGUCUUUGAAUACAAUUCAUCAUAUUAGUCUCCGAAUACAAUUCAUCAUAUUAGUCUCCGAAUUGAAAAGACCGAACAAAGAUAGAACAUUAUAUUACAAGUCUCGAGACCGCGAGUAGCGAGUUUGUCUUCACAUUACAAGUCGAUAUCGAUCAUCUAAACUACCAUCACAUAGAAGAGAGCUGCGGUCAUCACGAUGAGCAUCAUCACGAUGAAACUCGUCUUCAUCCGGUUCCUCCAACGCUCCCUCCCCUCUCCCGCUAGAUAGCGGGCGUAUCUAGAUUCGGCCUCGGCCCUAGUGGUGUACCCUUUGUAACUGUUACCGCUGAAUCGGUGAACCUGUCUCCGACACUCCUCCCAGUCAUCGUAGACUCCGGGAACCUUACCCUUGUACACGACAUAUGUCGGCAUCGCUAUGCACUAGCCAAACGAAACGUUAGUACCAAUUCACAGACAAUACAUAAGCAAUAUAUAAGUAUGCAACAGAACGAUCGGAAGAGAAAAGCAAGACAUUAAUAGCAUCGAUUACAUCAAAGUUGAACGACUCUCGAAACCAAAGAGACAUACUACAAGUUCAUUAAAGUUUAAUUACAACAUGAGCCAAUCGAUGUUUCAGAACUAGACACAGCAUCACUGCUUUCGACUCGACUCAAGGGACCGGAGCGUGGAUGAAGCCGCCGUCUAUCAUGGGAGUCAUGAAAUAACGGUCGUUGUCAGCCUGCAUUUGUAGCAUUGUGUCGAUGCCACUGUUGGACGGUUGAUUGUUGAGGUAGAACUGCCCCGAGGUACGAAGGACAUCUUGAUGGAUGAUUUCCGCAAACUCCGACUGGAUGCAAAAGAAUUCUUGUCGGAGGUCCGCGUCCUGGAUUGCCGACACGCUCUUUGCCCAAUCUUUGAGUUUACUCGGUAGCAGAAGUUGAUGAUGGUCCCGUACGAUCGCCCGCAUGUGAUGGAUGGCAUAGUAGGCACCCUUAUGACCGCCAGGCGGCUGCUUGACGCAGCAGAACAUCGUAUUGUGGGAGAACACGUGCUUGCCGUACUUACAAAUAGGCCUGGUGAAGGUGCCUCCAGAUUUGGCGUAGCCGGGGAGAACAUCAUCAAGAACCUUCUUGACAUUUGUGUAGUCUACGUUCGACUGACGGUCCGGGUCGAAAUACGUGGCCAUAGAAUAUUUGGGGCUUAGGAGGAUGAGCAUGCAACGUGUGUCACUGCAGAAAACACGGAAUGUUAAAAGAAAAAUGAUCGAAAUGUAAGAAUUCAUAUAUUACGGGCCGGUUGAGGGGAGGACUUACUCGGGAAAGUAAGGCACGAGGAAGUUAUCCUUAUCUCGGUUUGCCAGAAUGACGCCUUCGAGGUAAGAACUCGCGACUUGCCGGUCCCCAGCGCUGCACAAGAUCUUGGCACGCAUGUAGAAGGGGUCGACUAUCACGAUGUCCGGGGUCUUGUCGCGAAUGAUCCGCAUCUCCAUACUCAGCGAAAAUAGCCGAACGAAGGUGUAGUGCAGCGGAUGAAGGUUCAACAUAGCGUGGAUGUCAUCAAAACGCAGGACGAUCGUACGCCCGAUGGAGUUAUCCACAAAGCCCUUGCCCUCUGGCACCUUGGCCGCGAAAACCGGGUAUGCCACAUCCUUCUCUCUGAGACGCCGCUUCUCCAAAGCAAGAACACUGUCAUGCAGACUCCGCAUAGCACCGGUUGCAGCAUUGAGCAUAUUUGUUGGUAGCAUCGCCCUACCCGCCACAUGCACCCUCCUCGAGAUAUCCUGCGGUGAAGGUGCACGUCCUGAGCACGGAUCGUACUCGGUGCCGGCUGGCUCACACCCUUCUUAGUCUUUCUUUUGCGUGCCUUCUUCUUCUCCUGUAAUGGGACCGAGUUCUGCUCACAGACCGCCCUCUUGAGUGUGUUGGGGCUGAUAAUAUUUCGCACCUCGCCUAUCUGAGGCUCGGUGAAAUCGGCAGCUGGAGGCGUCUCCUGAGAGCUGAACGCUAGACGGCGCCUGUUGCAACUUGGCUUCUCCGCGGUACCAGCUAGAUCGCACACGUCUUUUGUUGGGUUUGGUUCUUGAGAAGGAGGCCCCAUGAAGUCGCCAUCAUACCCAUGAUCGGCAAAGUACUGAUCGACGUUGCCAAAUGUAUCAUCGUCAUCGUCGUCGUUCUGAUCCUGUGCCAUAUGCAUGUUUGGAUCCAGUGGCAUAGGGAUGUCCGGCACCGUUACGGCGGUCUUGCCAUGGGGCCGACUUGGCACCGGCAGGACUGGCGGUGUUGUCUUUGGGGUGGUGUCCCCCGCCCCCAAACCAAUCUGGCUCUUCGGCCAAAGCAGGGGCCAGCUUAGGCAGGCGCUGAGGGUCAUCACGUCUUCAUCGUCAGCCCCGAUGGGUCGAAUCGGAGGUAACAAGUCGUCGCAGCCUGGCAGCACCCGAACCAGUUGAACCCUAAACAAGUUGGGUGGCAUCUGGGUACCGUGGAACAAGGGGUUGCCCGGUUGAACGAUUUUGCCCUUGGCGACAUCGACCAACUCGUUGUUCACGAAGUGGAGGAGAGUGCACGGAACGUCGGCGGCGCCCUGCGAAAACAUGUAGGGCGUCAGGGAUGCCCAGUCAAAGGCAAGGAGAUGAAGUCCUCGGCCGAGAGAGGCUUAAUUAGUUACCGUGAUGAUGGCGUCGAGCUCGGCUAAUGUCGACGCACCGCCAACGGCGGGCGUGCAGUUGACGGAGGGGCCGCUUGCUGAAGAGGUGCCGGCCGGCGUACACCCGGGUGCAUUAAGCUCCCGUGCCGGCGUCGGAGACACCAAUGCCGCCUCCGCCGGAGGCACCAAUGGCCCCGCCAUCGCAUUAUGCGAGUUGCUGGCCGUGAAGCUAGGAAUCGGGGGCGGCCCCUGUUGGCCGCCCGCAAUCCACGCACUCAACCCCGAGAUCAAGGUAGGCACAAGGGCGGUGAUCGUCGCUCCGAGUCGUUGUUCCACUUGCUCUUGGACAAUCUCUGGAAUCCGCGCCACCUGUGCCUUGAGUUCUUGAACCUCUCGCACCUGGCUUUCCGAGCUGGUCUUUUUCUCCUUCCGCACACCAGCAGUAUAGUAUGACCCCCAUUUUGUCGACAAGCCUUUGCCGGCCACACGACUAGCUUACGUCGGCUUACUGAGCUUAUCCUUGUUCUUCAUUACAUUCAAUGCCCUAUUUAGAGUGGUGUCCCAAGGGUUGCUCUUAGUCGACCCCGCGCUACUGCUUUCAGUCGCCUGCGGAAGGAUUUUUCUCCUUGAUCUUCUGAUAACUCUCACCUUUCUCGAUCAUUUUCUUCACAUUGCUUUUCCAAGUAGACAGGGCCUUGCUCAUCUUCGUGAGGGUAACAUUGUUCACUUUAUUCCCUUUGAGGCUUGUGUUUGCAAAUUCAGCAGGGAACUUGUAUCAUUCGUGCAGCUUCGUGAAGAGGAGGUGGCGCAAAUUCCCUCGAUCAGGAUGCCUCAGGUUCUCGGUGUUGAUCGAGACGGUGCUCCGGACAAUGCACCCGAGCUGAAGCGAGUACCCCUUGACUAUUCGUUCAGGUGCCGUUGGAUUCCCGUUGGAGUCCACUUCAGUAACUUCCUCCUUGAGGGUGAGGAGCACGAUCGGGCGCCGGUCCUUCCAUUGCCUCUUCGGUUGGCUGCCAUCUGUGCGGGCGCCACCAUCGUCAGUGGUGGCAUCCUUGGCGGCACCAUCAGUGGUGGCAUCAGUGUGGUCAUCCUCGGCGGCACCAUCAGUGGUCUCAGGAUCGGUGGGGAAGGCGGCGGCCUCAUACAAGUGAGGUUGUUCCUCCAUCUCCUGGGAUAGCUCCCAGAAUGCCUUGCCGCCCGAACCCCCGGCCUCAUCGUUGUGGGCCAUGUUUCUCUCUAAAUAGAAACAAAGUUUGGUCAAAAAGUUGGUUAUUGUCAAGGAAAAAGAUCUCUAAGUUGACCAAAUAACCUAAUUCUCGAGGAAUGUCGCCAAAAAGUUGGUUAUUGUCAAGGAACAAUUGAGAGAUGUUUGUGAUAUUGCCUAGGUGUUUUGGGAUAGAACCUGUUAGUGUGUUGUUGCUAAGGUCCAAGUCCACGUUCUCAGGGUAACCUAGUUCCUGAGGGGUGUGUCUAGAAAGUUCACUCUUCUUUUUAGAAGACAAGCGUCUGAAAUGGUAUUGCCUUUCCUUAAUUUGUACUAUUUUUUCAUUGUGCUGAAUACUUAUGUGGGUGAGUGUAUGGAGAGGAUAAACGCUAGCAGGCUGAUCAUUGCAUAUCAUUCAUAACCAUGAAUGAAGGCUCAAUGGACCAAGGAAAGAAAACCUACACAAACACAAGGAUGACUAUUGGAGACACUCAGGCCUGCUGCUUUGUGUUGACUGCUCAGAAGCUAGGGAAUGUCCAUUAUAUAUAGAUGCAGAGAAGCUUCGGCCGUGGUGAAGGUCAACCCCUAUAUUUUAAUUGGAGGGCCAAGAGAUAAGUAAGCUACAAAUUAUGAAUCUGCGUCGAAAAUUGCACCACAUUCAGCAUAGGGCAGGAGACGCCUACCCUAAUGAAUAUGUUAUUCUCACAGCUCAUCACUUGCUGAACUUGUAAAUCAUUUCCGUGAAAACAAUCAAACGGUUUUCAGCGACAAGUGAUACAAGGAACUAAAUUGGGUUUCAGCUCUACAUGGGCCAGAGUGGACUUGAGCAAAUGUGUGUAUGUGAUGUGCCCCAACAGGGUAAACUUAUUAAGAAUCGGGCACCUUCUAGGUCAAGAAAAUUGGGCAUGACCUUUGCUAAUUUUCUUGACCUAGGAGUGCCCCAUUUCUCAACCAAAACGGAAAUUAAUCAACGUUUCCGGAGAAAGGGGUUAUUUUAGAAGAUCACAAGUAGCAGCAGCAUCACUUGACAAAAUCACAACUAGCAGCAACAACUUGAUAAGGUUUCAUGGAUUCUAGAUAUACAGGUGUCAUCGAUUAGGAGCUAGCAAUCAAAGAUAAGAGACAAUAGCUAAGGCCUGCCGCAGGUUUCUGUUGCACUAGGAUUAGUAUGUUUACACGAGAAGAAGGAGGACAAUAACAUGAGCCUUACAUCUCUGACAUACUGCUGCAGUUGCAAUGCUACUCCAAAACUGAGGCCUUCUUUGGACAAAAUGCAGUGGAACUGCACUACUACUAAAAUGCAUACAGCAGCACUAUAACCAAAAAGCUGAAGACCUUAUGUAGAUAGGAUCAGGAUGCAGUGAAGAAUUCAACCAACACCCCAGCUGGGAAAUAGCUAAUGCCUGCUACAGCAUUCUCCUGCACUAGGGUUAAGUUAAGUAUGCGGCACUGUGUAGUUCAUUAGCACACUACCCUGUGAAAAACUUAGUAGUAGUUCACUAUGACACUACAAGCAGAGGACAGAAACAUGAGCUUUUUAUCUGUUACAUACUAGUACUCCAGUUGCAAUGACUCCAGAACUGAUACCUUGCUUAUAGAUAUAAAAUGUAGUGAUUGAAGAUAAGCGACAAUAGCUAAGGCCUGCCUACCGCAGGUUUAUGUUGCACUAGGAUUAGUAUGUGACACUAGAAGCAGAAGUUACUACUUAAUUAUUCUGUGAAAAAACUUACUAGUUCACUGUGACACUACAAGCGGAGGACGGAAACAUGAGCUUUAUAUCUGUUACUACUUCCCAAGUUGGAAUACAACUCCAAAUCUGAGGCCUUGUUUACAGAAAAUGCAGUGAACUGCACUGCCACUAAAAUGCAUCAGCGCAACAAUGUAAACAAUGUAACUCCAGAACUGAGACCUUGUUCCGAUACAAAAUGCAGUGAAAUGAACUACCAAUAAAAUGUACUAGAGCAGCAGUGUAUUAACCCAAAAGCCAAGACCUUGUGCAGAGGGAGAGGNNNNNNNNNNNNNNNNNNNNNNNNNNNNNNNNNNNNNNNNNNNNNNNNNNNNNNNNNNNNNNNNNNNNNNNNNNNNNNNNNNNNNNNNNNNNNNNNNNNNNNNNNNNNNNNNNNNNNNNNNNNNNNNNNNNNNNNNNNNNNNNNNNNNNNNNNNNNNNNNNNNNNNNNNNNNNNNNNNNNNNNNNNNNNNNNNNNNNNNNNNNNNNNNNNNNNNNNNNNNNNNNNNNNNNNNNNNNNNNNNNNNNNNNNNNNNNNNNNNNNNNNNNNNNNNNNNNNNNNNNNNNNNNNNNNNNNNNNNNNNNNNNNNNNNNNNNNNNNNNNNNNNNNNNNNNNNNNNNNNNNNNNNNNNNNNNNNNNNNNNNNNNNNNNNNNNNNNNNNNNNNNNNNNNNNNNNNNNNNNNNNNNNNNNNNNNNNNNNNNNNNNNNNNNNNNNNNNNNNNNNNNNNNNNNNNNNNNNNNNNNNNNNNNNNNNNNNNNNNNNNNNNNNNNNNNNNNNNNNNNNNNNNNNNNNNNNNNNNNNNNNNNNNNNNNNNNNNNNNNNNNNNNNNNNNNNNNNNNNNNNNNNNNNNNNNNNNNNNNNNNNNNNNNNNNNNNNNNNNNNNNNNNNNNNNNNNNNNNNNNNNNNNNNNNNNNNNNNNNNNNNNNNNNNNNNNNNNNNNNGGCGGGGUCGCGUCGAGGCGGCGGGGCAGCAUCGAGGUGGCGGGGCAGCGGCAUCGGGUUAGGUUUGGGCGGACGGCGCGGGUUCGAGGGGGAGGAAGGGGAGAGGGAGGCGGCGGGGGCGCGUGGGCGGCUGCGGCGCAGUGGGUCAGGGCAGCGGCGGCGACGGCGGUGGAUCGAGCUAGGGAGAGGGAACUGGCGAGGGGAGAGGGAAGGGGGGAUCGGGCGAAUGGGGAGAGGGAAGGGGGGAUCGGGCACAAUACUAAUGGCGCACCACCCCUUGGUGCGCCAUAAGUACAUCCAUACUAAUGGCGCACCUCACCGUGGUGCGCCAUUAGUAUUUUUUUUUAAUUUCAACUCGAGCCAACAGGUUAUGUACCACCAGAACUGAUCCACAUCAAGUCCCCUCUACUAGUUCGACUGGUUAGCAGCCAGUUCUCACACCAGGAGGUCCUGGGUUCGACUCCCAGGCUCCACAAAUUUUUUUUAGCAUUUAAAAAGCUUUUUGAUACUUAUUUGUGUUUAAAUAUGUUCAAACUUGUUUAAAUCAUAACAGUAAUAUUUUUUUUAUAAGACAGUAAUAAUUUUUUAAAAAAUAUCAUCAAACAGUAAUGCCGGUGGAGCGGGGGAGGGUGCGCGGGGUGCGGGGGGUCGGCGGCGGCGGUUGAGUAGGGGAAUCGAGGGUGCGGGGGGUCGGCGGCGGACCGGAUCCGGCGAGGUGGGAUAGCGAUCGAGAUGGAGGGGGAUCGAGAUCGAGUGUCCAUGAAAUUUAAAAAUAUUCAUGAUAGUUCAAAAAGUACCCAUGAAAUACAAUCGAGAAAUGAAGGCUACGAUUUAAAUACAAUCGAUCUUAGCUAGCUAUCUGUUCACAAUCUUCUUGCCCUUCUUUUUUGCAAAUGGAGUUCUUCUGUGGAACGGAGGUCCUUUAGGUAGGGUGGUCCCGCUUCUUCUUGUGGUGUAUGCUGCUACUUCAUCAUCGUCGUCAUGUUCGAUCCUCGGGUCGCCGUACUUGUCGAAGUCUUGCUCAUUGGCUACUCCAUCCAUUCUGAUGAUCUUCCUUUUGCCUCUCGUCACGACAACACGACUGGGCUUUGGCGGGUCGGUAAUGAAGAAGCAUUGGUCCACUUGGGAAGCCAGUACCCAUGGCUCAUUUUUCGCGGUGACGUUUGCGCCCGCGGUCUUGGAUUUGGCUUCGGGUAUAACCAUGGUGGUGAAAUACCGGUCUUCUUUUAUGACGUUCUUGGCCCAUCUGACACGGAACAUCGGGACCUUCUCUCCAGCGUAGCUUAGCUCCCAGAUCUCCUCGAUCCUUCCGUAGUAUCUGUCCUUGUCGUUACCGGUGUAGGAUUCCAUCGUUACCCCGGAGUUCUGAUAACCAUCGCUCUUCAUGUCCUUGGCCUCGGUGUAGAAUGUGUAGCCGUUGAUAUCGUACGCCUCAUAGGUCAUCAGGUUGUGCUCGGCGCCCUGUGACAAGGCGAAUAUGAGUUGUUCUUCCGCGGAAGAAUCCUCAUGUAAAGGGUACGACAGAAGCUUCUGCUUGAACCAACGCGUGAAACAUGAGUUGUGCUCUUUGAGUAUAUCUCCGUCCGUCCUCUGUUGGCCUCGGUCAUUGUACGUCUUCUUAAUAAAGGUUUUGGGCUCUACCACCCAAGGAUCGACCACGUCUAUGUGUUGUAGCGCGACUAGGUUUGCUCUUUCAAAGUCGGCGAGUCGACCUUCGAAGUCGACAUGCAUUUCGCGGUGACCCUCACGGUGACCCCAUCCAGCGAGCCUGCCGAGGUGCCUGUUGACGGGCAGACCAACGGGGUUCUCGAUGCCUAGAUAAUUCGUGCAGUAGGAGAUGCACUCUUCGGUCAGAAAGCCCCUGGCUAUGCUUCCCUCUGGAUGUGACAUGUUGCGAACGUAUCCUUUGAUGACACCAUUCAUCCUUUCGAACGGCAUCAUGCUGUGCAGGAACGUCAGCCCGAGUUGGAUGAUAUCCUCCACUAUAUGGACCAGCAGAUGCACCAUAACGUCGAAGAAUGCGGGCGGGAAGUACAUCUCAAGCUCGCAUAGUAUCACCACGAUCUCUUCCUGUAGCCUUCUGAGUUGCCUCACACCAAUCGACUUCCGAGAGAUGACGUCGAAGAAGUUGCAUAGGCCAAAUAGCGUUUCACGGAUGUGCGCGUCCAUGAUCCCACAGAUUGCAACUGGAAGUAUCUGCAUCAUCAGCACGUGACAGUCGUGAGACUUCAUCCCGCUGAACUUCUGCUUCGCUGGGUCUAGGUAUCUGCUUAUCUUCCCUGCGUAACCGUAAGGAAGUUUUACUCCUAGGAGGCAGGUGAAAAACUGCUCGAUCUCCUCCUGACUUAGAGUGAAGCACGCGGGAGGGUAGUCAUUUCCGGUCUUCUUGGCCUUUUUGCCUUAGCGACGACUUCCUGUGUCCUGCUUCGCCUCAUCAUCAUCAUCAUCAUCAUCAUCAUCAUCAUAUAUAGCGUGAAGCUCCUGCCUGAUGCCCAUUGAUUUCAAGUCUGCCCUUGCUUUCGGCCCAUCUUUGGUCCUCUCUGGCAUGUUGAGCAGGGUACCAAGCAGACUCUCGCACACAUUCUUCGUGAUAUGCAUGACAUCAAGGCUGUGAGGCACACGGUGGAUCUUCCAGUACGGCAAGUCCCAGAAAACAGACCUCGUUUUCCAUACCUUCAGCAGCGGCUCUGGCGCCUUUUGCUUCUUUCCCGGCAGUGGGCAGUCUUUCCAAUUUUUCAAGAGCUCGUCUAUUUCCUCGCCGCUCCUCGUACACGGGCAUUUUCGGGGUUCGGUUUCACCAUCGAACAGAUCCUUGCGUUUCCUCCACGGGUCAUCGUCGCGAAGCCACCUUCGAUGUCCCAUGAACACGGUUUUCGAAGACCCGGGUUCUCUAUCUAGCUGGCGAUACGUUGUGUCAUCCAUGCACCUUACGCAUCCAGAAAAUCCGUGGACUACCUGCCCCGCAAGAUAUCCGUAACCGAGAUAGUCGUGCACCAUCGUGAGCAGUGCGGCUCUCAUAGGGAAAUAUUCUUUCUCUGCGGCAUCCCACGUAUUGGCUGGCGUUUUCCACAGCGUGUCAAUCUCCUCUUUCAGCAGCCCCAGAUACAGAUUGAUGUCGUUCCCUGGUUGUUUCGGCCCUUCAAUUAGCAUACUCAUGUGAAUGUACUUCCUCUUCAUGCACAACCAGGGGGGAAGGUUGUACAUCCACACGAACACAGGCCAGGUGCUAUGUGUGCUUCUCUGGCUGCCAAACGGAUUGACUCCAUCGGUGCUCGCGCCCAGCACGAUGUUCCUUGGAUCAUUCCCAAAUUCUGGGUAUUCUAAGUUCAACGCUUGCCACUGGCUCGCAUCCUUAGGGUGACUCAGCAUCUUGUCUUUUUUAUCUAUCUCCGGAUCAUUUGCGUCAUCUUCUCGCUUCUUCUCCUCCCUAUCCGCGUGCCAACGCAGGAGCUUUGCUACCUUAGGGUCCGCGAAAUACCACUGCAGACGAGGAGUGAUCGGAAAGUACCACACCACUUUUCGAGGAGCUUUCUUCCUCUUCUUGUAUCGAGUGACACCGCAUACCGGACAUAUGGUAGACUCCGCGUGCUCGUCCCGAUAAAUGAUGCAAUUGUUCAUGCACACAUGGUAUUUCACGUGCGGUAAAUCCAGAGGACACACGAUUUUCUUUGCCUCCUCCAAACUGGUCGGGCACUUGUUCCCCUUGGGAAGACGUUCGUGCCAGAAUGACAUGUUCUCGUCGAAGCAUGCGUCGGUCAUUUUGUGUUUUACCUUCAUCUCCAGAGCCAUGAGCGUUACUUUCAGGCGGGUAUCCUCGGGCCUGCAUCCUUCAUACAAUGGAGUAACCGCGUCUAACUCAACUUGAUCCAUCUUGGCUUUCUCUCGGGCGGCAGCUCUUGCCUUAUCCGUCUGCUUGAGAAGCAGCUCUUGAAUAUGAGGGUCCUGCACCCAGCCCAUCGAUGGUCCAGCGUCAUCUGCUCCGCCGGCAUCAUCAUCAUGUCCUACAUCUUCUACAUGAUGACUGUGUACAGCAUCACCGUCGUGAUCAUCUCCUAGGGAUUCUUCGUCUUCUCGCCCCCUGAGCCGCGGUGGUUGUCUUGCUGCCCUUCCUCAUUUCUUGCCCGGCCCCCAUGGAUGACUUCGUAGUCAUCUUCAUCAGCUUGCCACCGAUAGCCAUCCAUGAAACCACGCAAGAGCAGGUGGUCCCGCACCUGCCCGAAAUCCGGGUCCGCAAUAAGGCUAUUCAGCUUGCAUCUUCGACACGGACAUCUUAUCUCCGUCUCGUUCUUUUGAUGCAUCUCGGCCUUCGCGGACCUGAAAAACCUAUUCAUGAUGCCUUUCCCUAAAAAUUUGGCGGACCAUGGUCGCCUGCGGGGUAUUGCAAAACGAUAUUUUAGAACCAAGAAAAAAUUUGGCAUGACUUUCCCUAAAAAUAGGACCAAAAAGAAUGCUUAAUGCCAAAAUUCUCGCUGAAACGGAAAUGAAUCAACAUUCCGGCAAAAUAUUGGCAACUAUCGCAUUUCAAAUACCGGUACACCUCCAAACACAAACACAUAUGAAACACCACAAACAUAUGCAACACCACGAACAUACAUAGAUCUAGCUAGGCCAUAAAAAGUGCAUGUGCACAUUGUUGUAGGGAGAACAACAUAAAUAUAGCUUCCCCCCUUACUUACCUAGCAAAACAAGGUAACGUAACCACUUAGUUUGAAUGAAUCUAUGGUGGAAAUGAGGUGAAAAAGAGGAGGCACCCGAGACAAGGAGGAGGCGGUGGAGAGAAUGAAGUGGGGAGAAAGUGAGUGUGGGAGGAGAGGCUGUCCAAAAUAUCUUAUUGCUGCCCACUUACUAAUGGCGCACCAGCAACAAAUGCGCCAUUAGUAAUCCAGGUUACUAAUGGCGCACCCCCUGGUGGUGCGCCAUUAGUACUUUUGCAAAAAAAGGAAUGAAAACAAUAAUAAAAAAAAUAACAGUAGUGGUGCACCUUCUGGCUGGUGCGCCAUUACUAGUUACAACUAGUAAUGGCGCACCACCAGUGGAUGCGCCAUUAGUAUGUUUGGACAGGCGCACUAGUUCAAAAAAAAUUUGGUACUAAUGGCGCACCGUGGGCAGGGUGCGCCAUUAGUAGUUUCAACACUAAUGGCGCAUCAGAAGGUGGUGCGCCAUUAGUAUAUACUAAUGGCGCACCACAUGUCUGGUGCGCCAUUAGUGUCAUUUCCAUCUAUAGCCCUUUUCCUAGUAGUGCUAGUUGGGGCCAAACGAGAGAAGUUUGAUGUUUACUGGUUUAUUUGUCCCCUUUGCAUUUUGCGCCAAGUUUUGACCUUUGAUUUAACUAAUAAAAUGUUAAUGCAUGUAAACAAAAAUGUUGUGUAAGUCACCUUACAAAAACCAAAUAAUCCGAAAACACUUAGGCACGGUGCAUUAACUCCCUCCUUAUUUCUUAUUUCGUGACAUAUCAACCAAUGAGAGAUGUGGGCUGUGCAUGCUUUCAAUGACUUGAGACUACCAAACAUGACAUGCAUUGUUUAGUUCAUUGCAUGUAAUCCUAUUACUCUAGUUACCAAAAAGACAUUAAGUUCUCUCGCCAAUAGGAAUAAAACACCAUGUAUUUAUUUACAGAGGGAGUAGUACAUUUUUUGUGACAUGCAUUACUAGAUAUUGCUAGUCAAAUACUAAAAUCCAGAUGGACGUGGUAGUACUCCUAAAUCCAGACGGUGGUGCUACUAGUACUAGUAGUAGUACUACCAAUGUAGUAGGAGUACUAGCACUGUACUACCCGUUGGUCAAAUUAUUACGUGCUGCUCCUCACAGUGAAGUGACAAGACCCUGCGCCGGAGAUGACACCUGAGUAUAGCCGCCGUGUUCGGCAUACCAUAGUCAGCCUCACCGUCUACAGUCACUAUAAUCAUGGCUGUAGAGCUACCCUGCUUACAACUAGCCUUGUUCGACAUAAUUUCCCGUGUGUAGAUGCCCGUGCAUUGCACGGAACACCAAGAUUGGGGGUGGACGGCGCCGACAGCGGCCAUCGCGCCAGAUUUUUCCACGGCCCUCUAGAUGUGGUGGGGAGGAGAUAAGGCUGAUUGUGGGAGACAAGUGCUACCUCUUGAGCACUGCGUUGGAUUUCCCCGAAGAGGAGAGGAUGAUGUAGUAAAGUAGUGUAAGUAUUUCCCUCAGUUUUUGUGAACCAAGGUAUCAAUCCAGUAGGAGAUCACGCACGAGUCCCUCGUACCUGCACAAAACGAUAGCUACUCGCAACCAACGUGAUUAGGGGUUGUCAAUCCCUUCACGGUCACUUACGAGGGUGCGAUCUGAUAGAGACGAUAAAUAAUAUUUUUUUGGUAUUAUUGAUAUAGAGAUGCAAAGUGAAAAGUAAAAGGCAAAGUAAAAACAAAGCAAGUAUUAAAGUAAUGGAGAUUGAUAUGAUGAGAAUAGACCCGGAGGCCAUAGGUUUCACUAGUGGCUUCUCUCAAGAGCAUAAGUAUUCUACGGUGGGUGAAGAAAUUACUGUUGAGCAAUUGAUAGAAUUGAGCAUAGCUAUGAGUAUAUCUAGGUAUGAUCAUGUGUAUAGGCAUCACGUCCGAGACAAGUAAACCAAAACGAUUCUGCAUAUACUACUAUUACUCCACUCAUCGACCGCUAUCCAACAUGCAUUUAGAGUAUUAAGUUAAAAACAGAGUAACGCCUUAAGCAAGAUGACAUGAUGUAGAUGGAUAAAUUCAUGCAAUAUGAUAAAAACCCCAUCUUGUGAUCCUCGAUGGCAACAAUACAAUACAUGCCUUGCUGCACCUUCUGUCACUGGGUAAGGACACCGCAAGAUUGAACCCAAAGCUAAGCACUUCUCCCAUUGCAAGAACUACCAAUCUAGUUGGCCAAACCAAACGGAUAAUUCAGAGAGACUUGCAAAGAUAACUCAAUCAUACAUAAAAGAAUUCAGAGAAGAUUCAAAUAUUAUUCAUAGAUAAGCUGGAUCACAAACCCACAAUUCAUCGGUCUCAACAAACACACCACAAAAAUAAGAUUACAUCGAAUAGAUCUCCACAAGAAAGGGGGAGAACAUUGUAUUGAGAUCCAAAAAUAGAGAAGAAGCCAUCUAGCUACUAACUAUGGACCCGAAGGUCUGAGGUAAACUACUCACACUUCAUCAGAGAGGCUAUGGUGUUGAUGUAGAAGCCCUCCGUGGUGGAUGCCCCCUCCCGCGGAGCUCCGGAACAGGCCCCAAGAUGGGAUCUCGUGGAUAGAGAAGGUUGCGGCGGUGGAAUUAUGUUUUUGGCUCCGUAUUUGAUAUGUCGGGGGUACGUAGGUAUAUAUAGGAGGAAGGAGUACGUCGGUGGAGCAACAGGGGGCCCACGAGGUAGGGGGCGCGCCUAGGGGGGAGGGCGCGCCCCCCACCCUCGUGACCGCCUCGGUUGUUCCUUGGAGCAGGGUCCAAGUCUCCUGGAUCACGUUCUGUGAGAAAAUCACGUUCCCGAAGGUUUCAUUCCAUUUGGACUCUGUUUGAUAUUCUCUUUCUUCGAAACACUGAAAUAGGCAAAAAAUAGCAAUUCUGGGUUGGGCCUCCAGUUAAUAGGUUAGUCCCAAAAAUAAUAUAAAAGUGGAAAAUAAAGCCCAAUAUAGUCCAAAACAGUAGAUAAAGUAGCAUGGAGCAAUCAAAAAUUAUAGAUACGUUGGAGACGUAUCAGGCAUCCCCAAGCUUAAUUCCUGCUCGUCCUCGAGUAGGUAAAUGAUAAAAAAGAAUUUUUGAUGCGGAGUGAAACUUUGGCAUAAUUUCAAUGUAAAUCUUCUUAAUUGUAGUAUGAAUAUUCAGAUCCGAAAGAUUCAAGACAAAAGUUCAUAUUAGAAUAAAAGUAAUAAUACUUCAAGCAUACUAAUCAAAGCAAUCAUGUCUGCUCAAAAUAGCAUGGCUAAAGAAAGUUAUCCCUACAACAUCAUAUAGUCCGCCUGUUGCCCUAUCUUCAUCGCACAAAGUAUUUAAUCAUGCACAACCCCGAUGAAAAGCCGAGCAAUUGUUUCAUACUUUAGUAAUCUCAAACUCUUUCAACUUUCACGCAAUACAUGAGCGUGAGCCAUGGACAUAACACUAUAUGUGGAAUAGAAUGGUGGUUGUGGAGAAGACAAAAAGGAGAAGAUAGUCUCACAUCAACUAGGCGUAUCAACGGGCUAUGGAGAUGCCCGUUAAUAGAUACCAAUGUGAGUGAGUAGGGAUUGCCAUGCAACGGAUGCACUAGAGCUAUAAAUAUAUGAAAGCUCAACAAAAGAAACUCUCUAAUGAAAAAUUCCCACUAGUAUAUGAAAGUGACAACAUAUGAGACUCUCUAAUAUGAAGAUCAUGGUGCUACUUUGAAGCACAAGUGUGGUAAAAGGAUAGUAGCAUUGUCCCUUCUCUCUUUUUCUCUCAUAUUUUUUUUAUUUGGGCCUUUUCUUUUUUUUAUGGCCUUUUUUUCGUCCGGAGUCUCAUCCCGACUUAUGGGGGAAUCAUAGUCUCCAUCAUCCUUUCCUCACUGGGUCAAUGCUCUAAUAAGGAUGAUCAUCACACUUUCAUUUUUCUUACAACUCAAAUUACAACUCGAUACUUAGAACAAAAUAUGACUCUAUAUGAAUGCCUUCGGCGGUGUACCGGGAUAUGCAAUGAAUCAAGAGUGACAUGUAUGAAAGAAUUACGAAUGGUGGCUUUGCCACAAAUACAAUGUCAACUACAUGUUCAUGCAAAAAGAAAUAUGGCAAAAGUAAUGUGUGUCAUAUGAACGGAACGGUGGAAAGUUGCAUGGCAAUAUAUCUCGGAAUGGCUAUGGAAAUGCCAUGAUAGGUAGGUAUGGUGGAUGUUCUGAGGAAGGUAUAUGGUGGGUGUAUGAUACUGGCGAAAAGUGCACGGUAUUAAAGAGCCUAGAAAUGGUGGAAGGGUGAAAGGGUGCGUAUAAUCCAUGGACUCAACAUUAAUCAAAAGAACUCAUGCACUUGUUGCAAAAAUGUAGAAGUCAUCAAAAACCAAAGCACUGCAUGCAUGCUCCUAGGGGGAUAGAUUGGUAGGAAAAUACCAUCGCUCGUCCCCGACCGCCACUCAUAAGGAAGGCAAUCAAUAAAUAAAAUUGUGCUCCAACUUCAUCACAAAGCGGUUCACCAUACGUGCAUGCUACCGGAAUCACAAACUUCAACACAAGCAUUCUUUAAAUUCAUAAUCACCCCAACUAGCAUUACUUUGAUAUUAUCACCUCCAUAUCUCAAAACAAUUGUCAUGCAUCAAACUUAUCUUAGUAUUCAACGUACUCAAAAGAAAGUUUCACAUAUCUUGAAUACCAAGUGUAUUAACAUUAAGCAAAUUACCAUGCUAUUAACGACUCUCAAAAUAAUCUAAGUGAAGCAUGAGAGAUCAAUAGUUUCUUUAAAAAAAUCCACCACCGUGCUCUAAAAGAUCUAAGUGAAGCACAAGAGCAAAAAUUAUUAUGCUCAAAAGAUAUAAGUGAAGCACCAUGAGCAAAACUUUCAAGCUCAAAAGAUAUAAGUGAAGCAUAUAGAGUAUUCUAGCAAAUUCCAAUUUGUGUAUGGCUCUCUCAAAAGGUGUGUACAGCAAGGAUGAUUGUGGUAAACUGACAAGCAAAGACGCAAAUAAUACAAGACGCUCCAAUCAAAACACAUAACAUGUGGUGAAUAAAAAUAUAGCUCCAAGUAAAUUACCGAUGGAAGUAGACGAAAGAGGGGAUGCCUUCCGGGGCAUCCCCAAGCUUUGACUUUUUGGUGUCCUUGGAUUAUCUUGGGGGUUCCAUGGGCAUCCCCAAGCUUAGGCUCUUUCCACUCCUUGUUCCAUAAUCCAUCAAAAGAAUUCACCCAGAACUUGAAAACUUCACAACACAAAACUCAAUAGAAAUCUCGUGAGCUCCGUUAGUGAAAGAAAAUAAAAGACUACUUUAAGGUACUGUAAUGAACUCAUUCUUUAUUUAUAUUGGUGUUAAACCUACUGUAUUCCAACUUCCUUAUGGUCUAUAACUAAACUAAUUUAUUAGCCAUAGAUGCAUUGAAAUAAGCAAACAACACACAAAAAACACAAUCUGUCAAAAACAGAAUAGUCUGUAGAAAUCUGUAACUAACGCAAACUUCUGGAACUCUAAAAAUCCUAAUAAAAUAGGACGUACUGGAAAAUUUGUUUACUGAUCAGCAGCAAAAAGAAUCAAUGCAAAAUCACGUUUCUGUGAUUUAUUGAUUUUUUUCUCGUGAGCGCAAAUUUUCUGUUUUUCAGCAGAAUCAAAUCAACUAUCAUCGUAGGUUAUCCUAUAGGUUCUACUUGGCACAAACACUAAACAUAAGAUAAAAACACAGAAGAAAAAAAAUAAAAUUGGGUUGCCUCCCAACAAGCGCUAUCGUUUAACGCCCCUAGCUAGGCAUAAAUAAUUUUGAUGAUGCUCACAUGAAAGACAAGAAUUGAAGCGCAAAGAGAGCAUCAUGAAACACGUGACAAACACAUCUAAGUCUAACAUACUUCCUAUGCAUAGGCAUCUUAUAGGAAAAGAAAUUAUCAUAGCAAGCAAAAACUAGCAUAUGCAAGGAAGCGGAAAGAAACACUAGCAAUCUCAACAUCAAGAGAGGUAAUUUAGUAACAUGAAAAUUUCUACGACCAUAUUUUCCUCUCUCAUAAUAAUUACAUGUAGGAUCAUAGGCAAAUUCAACAAUAUAGCUAUCACAAAACAUAUCCUUAACACGAUCCACAUGUAUGCAAAGUUGACACUCUUCCAAAAUAGUGGGAUUAACAUUAACUAAAGUAAUGACCUCUCCAAACCCACUUUUCUCAAAAAUUUCAUAAGAUUGAACAUUCUCCAAAUAUGUGGGAUCUAAAGUUGACACUCUUCUGAACCCACUUUCAAUAUUGCAAACACUAUUAUCAAUCUCAUAUUCAUUAAGCGGCUUAAAUAAAUUUUCAAGAACAUAAGAAGAAUCACCCCAAUCAUGAUCAUUGCAACAAGUAGUAAACAUAGCAAAACUAGCAUCCCCAAGCUUAGGGUUUUGCAUAUUAUUAGCACAAUUGACAUCAAGAGAAUUUAUAGUAAAAUUAUUACAAUCAAGGUUUUCAUCGAAGGAACUACCAUGUAUGGGUGCAAUCGCAAUGAUCUCAUGUUUAACACAAGGAACUAUUGCAAAUUCAUAUUCAUAAAUAUUGGCAUCAUGGCCACAAGGAUAGUAAGCAUCAUGUUCAUCAAGGGAUAUUUAAAUCAAAUCAUCGGAAUCAUCAUUAUCUAUAGAUUCAUGCAUAUCAUUAUUUUAUUCCAAAGCAACGGUCAUUCUUUCAAUAAAUUCUUGGACAUAGACAUUAUGAGCAAGGUUUUCAUUGCAAUAUUUAAGUAUGAUGGAAUUUUCAGAUUUGUUGAGAGUAAAAUCAUAAUUUUCAAUCAAAGAAGCAACUUCAUGAGCACCUUUAAAAACGACAAAUUCAUCAAUUUGUUCGAUAUCAUAGUAACUAUAAACACCCUUUGCAUAAGAAGAUAAGAUUUCAUUAUCAUUGAACUCACAUAGGUAGGGAAGGUGUUUUUUAGGUUUCUUAGAGCAACAAGUAAAAUCACACAUUUCACAAAGAUUCCAAGCAUCGCAUAGCAAACUAUUUAUAUGAUACUGUAAGAGUCUCCCUUUUUCAGAUAAACGAUGACACACAAAAUGAGCAUGCUCAUCUAAAGAUUUCCCAUCAACUAGGCUAGUUGGGGUUUCAGCACGAGCGCAUAAGGAUCGAAGAUGAUCCCAGUAGAACACUUUAAGUGGAUCCAUAUCAAUAGAUUUUUACAAGCAAAGAUGCAAGCAUAUAGAAGGCACAAGGAAACACAAACAAAGAUUCAUAUGGGAAGAAGGCGAACGAAAAAGAGAGGGCGAAUAAAACAGCAAGGGUGAAGUGGGGGAGAGGAAAACGAGAGGCAAAUAAUGUAAUGCGAGAGAUAGGGAUUGUGAUGGGUACUUGGUAUGGUUGACUUUUGCACAAACUCCCUGGCAACGGCGCCAGAAAUUCUUCUUGCUACCUCUUGAGCAUUGCGUUGUAUUUCCCCGAAGAGGAGAGGAAGAUGUAGUAAAGUAGCAUAAGUAUUUCCCUCAGUUUUUGAGAACCAAGUUAUCAAUCCAGUAGGAGAUCACGCACGAGUCCCUCGUACCUGCACAAAACGAUAGCUACUCGCAACCAACGCGAUUAGGGGUUGUCCAUCCCUUCACGGUCACUUAUGAGGGUGAGAUCUGAUAGAGAUGAUAAAUAAUAUUUUUUUGGUAUUUUUUAUAUAGAGAUGCAAAGUGAAAAGUAAAAGGCAAAGUAAAAACAAAGAAAGUAUUAAAGUAAUGGAGAUUGAUAUGAUGAGAAUAGACCCGGAGGCCAUAGGUUUCACUAGUGGCUUCUCUCAAGAGCAUAAGUAUUCUACGGUGGGUGAAUAAAUUACUGUUGAACAAUUGAUAGAAUUGAGCAUAGUUAUGAGUAUAUCUUGGUAUGAUCAUGUGUAUAGGCAUCACGUCCGAGACAAGUAAACCGAAACGAUUCUGCAUCUACUACUAUUACUCCACUCAUCGACCGCUAUCCAGCAUGCAUCUAGAGUAUUAAGUUAAAAACAGAGUAACGCCUUAAGCAAGAUGACAUGAUGUAGAGGGAUAAAUUCAUGCAAUAUGAUAAAAACCCAUCUUGUUAUCCUCGAUGGCAACAAUACAAUACGUGCCUUGCUGCCCCUUCUGUCACUGGGUAAAGACACCGCAAGAUUGAACCCAAAGCUCAGCACUUCUCCCAUUGCAAGAACUACCAAUCUAGUUGGCCAAACCAAACGGAUAAUUCGAAGAGACUUGCAAAGAUAACUCAAUCAUACUUAAAAGAAUUCAGAGAAGAUUCAAAUAUUAUUCAUAGAUAAGCUGGAUCAUAAACCCACAAUUCAUCGGUCUCAACAAACACACUGCAAAAAGAAGAUUACAUCGAAUAGAUCUCCACACGAGAGGGGGAGAACAUUGUAUUAAGAUAAAAAAAGAGAGAAGAAGCCAUAUAGCUACUAACUAUGGACCCGAAGGUCUAAGGUAAACUACUCACACUUCAUCGGAGAGGCUAUGGUGUUGAUGUAGAAGCCCUCCAUGGUGGAUGCCCCCUCCGGCGGAGCUCCGGAACAGGCCCCAAGAUGGGAUCUCGUGGAUACAGAAGGUUGCAGCGGUGGAAUUAGGUUUUUGGCUCCGUAUUUGAUCUAUCGGGGGUACGUAGGUAUAUAUAGGAGGAAGGAGUACGUCGGCGGAGCAACAGGGGGCCCACGAGGUAGGGGGCGCGCCCAGGGGGGAGGGCGCGCCCCCACCCUCGUGACCGCCUCGGUUGUUCCUUGGAGCAGGGUCCAAGUCUCCUGGAUCACGUUUGGUGAGAAAAUCACGUUCCCGAAGGUUUCAUUCCGUUUGGACUCCGUUUGAUAUUCCGUUUCUUCGAAACACAGAAAUAGACAAAAAAACAACAAUUCUGGGCUGGGCCCCCGGUUAAUAGGUUAGUCCCAAAAAUAAUAUAAAAGUGGAAAAUAAAGCUCAAUAUAGUCCAAAACAGUAGAUAAAGUAGCAUGGAGCAAUCAAAAAUUAUAGAUACGUUGGAGACGUAUCAACAAGGAGUUGUUUGUAAAUAGGGAACAAGUGCGGGCAUAUUUUUGCAAAGAUGGAGAAGCUUGGUUUGUAUGCGUCAGAUCUAGAUCCGAUUUCUAUUGGUGAAAGAUGGGAGGCACAACAUCAUCACCAACUCAGGACCUGUUUGAUUCGCAGGAUUUUCAAAACGCAGUAAUAGGACACGGCAAUAUUACAAGUUUCAAACUGAUAUUACAAAUGUUAGGAGUAAUGUUGCACCUACGAAGGGGGAAUUACUAGGAAGUUUACGUAAGAACUUUCGUUACUUUAGGUGGAUGCAACAUUAUCGUACAAACUAAAAUCCACCACCCUGACAAGUCACUAAUGGGCAAAUAAGUUUUCGAGUCUCUGGUGACUUGAUGUUUCAAAAACAAAUUCAACUUUUGCGGAGACUUUGUUAUUUAGGCUUAGACGCUUGCGGUGAUCAGCACGCCAUUCAUUGUUGCGCCAGAGAACACCAAACCUCAUUACCUUGAGCACACUUGCCUCCAGAACAAAGAACCUGGCCAAUUUAAUCUCAGAUGUGCUGCCUCGAUAGUUGAUCAAAUCAAUUUCUGUAAGAUGGAGAUCAAGGCAUUCGAUGAGAUUGUUAUAGUGCAGCACAUUUUUCACUUGCGGGUCUUUUUUUAUUUGCAAAAGAAGAGAACAUAUUAGAGCAGCUGGUUGUAUAAGGUUGCCGUGUCAUCAAGAGGUACCAAUAUCAUUUGCUCAUACGAUAGGGUUGGCUGGCUAGUGAUAUUUUUCCACUCUCUCUCUCUCUCUCUCUCUCUCUCUCUCUCUCUCUCUCUUUCUGUUUCCUCUCAUUUAACUAAGAGCACGUGAAGAUCUUAGGCAUUUGUUGCCUUCCACUAUGUGGCUGAUGCCAUAUUUCGCAAAAGUAUGCCAAAUAAUACGCAUCAAUGUCAAAUCAAAAGAUUUUGGCACCGCUCUCGCGAUGUGAGAGAGUUGGCACCGUUGUGCACACAGACCCACAUGUAUAAACAAAUCAAUCAAACCAACUACACCAGCCUCUCACUCUCCCAAACAAGUGUUUUUUCUUACCUCAGUCCUCUCUCUCUCCCACGCAGUGUUUUUUCAUUGCGUGAGUUAAUUUGGCACCGGAGCAAAGUAGGUGAUCCAUAUUGGGGCACCAGGUGAGCAAUGGAGGGGCAUCGAUGCCAAAUGCAUCACAAGUGAAUUUGGCACGUGUUUUGGCCUACAUAGCCCACUUUUAUACUCCCUCCAUCCCAAAAUUCUUGUCUUAAAUUUGUCUAAAUACGGAUGCAUCUAGUUACAUUUUAGUGUUAGAUACAUCCAUAUCUAAACAAAUGUAAGACAAGAAUUUUGGGACGGAGGGAAUACUACCUCGUAUUUAGUAUAAAAGUUUGACCAUAGAUUUACCUAAGAAAAUACCAAUGCAUGUCACUAAAAAUCACACAUUUGGAAUUAUGUUCAAAUACGAAUCCAACGAUAUAGUUCUUAGUGACAUGCAUUAACAUUUUGUCAGUUAAAUCUAUGGUCAAAUUUUGAUACUACAAAAUUGGAAGAGUAAACCAGGACGGAGGUAGUACUUGCUCUUAGGGUAACCAUAGAGUUACGGGAGUAGUCUAAGUUACUUUCCACUAUGAGUAGCAUAGGCUACUAUAGUAGUAAAGCAUAAAAAUGAUGCAGGUGAUCACAUGAGAAAAAAAAUAUUAAAAACAUUUCUUUCGAUACAGUGCGUAGAUGCAGUUUUGAACACUACACUUGUCAUCAUAAUUUGGGAAAAUUAAGGAAAAAAUUGAGCUACGUUGUGAUUACCGUUUACUUAUAGGAAAGAAGUUUCACCUUCAUGAGUAGUUUCUCCGUGCACGGAAAGCAUGUAAGGAAUCCAACAACUUGAUCCAGAUUGGGGCCGAUAGAUUUUAGUGCCAAGAUCUUCACUGUGCGCGUGGACUGGGUCAAGCUUCUGGGAAUCAUUUUCUGGAAGACGGUCGUAAAUACAUCAAGAAGAAAUUUAAAAAUGUCAAUUUUAAGAAGACGGAGAAGAAGGUGAGUGUUGUACCUAAACGAUUACGGAUCCAAUAAAGAGUUUGGAGAAUUUGGAAGAUGAGUACACCAACGCUGUCAAUUUUGGCGCGUCAAUGACCCUGAUUUUUGUUGGACCUUCUAGAUCCGAUAAAAGCAAUCUCUCAAAGAAAGGCGCAUUCUCAAUGACCAUAACGUGGAACAACUGGAGUGAUCUCUUUCCAAUUGACGUCUUGUUGCAGGGCCAGCAAGACACAUAAAUCCAUCGGAGAUUCAUCGAGGCGAUGUGGAGGCUAAUGAACCCAUGGAUCUGCUCAAGACGAAGGUACUCAAGCGCAGUAUAGCUGCGGAGCAGGUGCUCCAUAGCCUUCUUCGAGAUGACAGCAUCGAAGAGGUCGAGCUGCUUGAGUUGAGGGAGAAGAAGGGUGGGCGCGACAUUAAUCUGGGGAAGAUAACAGGAGCUGAAGCUGGCGCGGUGCAGCGUUGGCGUGAGGCGGAGCGCGGACGGCGGCAGAGAGCGACAUUGUCCAGCUUCAAAUCUAAGCUCCUCGAGCUGAUCUAGGGCGGGGGAUAAGAACCACUCAUCGAACUUGGGUUGGACCUUGCAGUUGGUACUGAACAUGCAGAUGUCAAGGCGUCUAGCUGGCCCAGGGUGCGAUGAAAGGAUCUUAGAGAGUGCGGCCAUGCGUUUGCAAUCCCCAUCGCAGAGGCAGCUGUCGAUGGUGAGGUUGAGGGGGAUGCAGCGCCAGAGGGGGCGCCACCACCGGGAGAGCAGGGCGGUCCGCAUGGCAGAUUUGGUGGGGAGGAGGCCGAUGAUGACGAGCAGCAUGUCAUCGGGGAGGCUGCUGAUGAAGUGCAGGCUCACCGGAUGCGGUUUUGGCUCGAGCUGCCUCCGCUUGUUGGCUGCCUCGCCGUCCAUCUCAACCGGUGGCGACGCCGAUGUACACGUGUGUUGGUGUGUGUUGUGUGCUGGGUGUGCGCGAGUGCGUCCUUCUGUGCAUGCCGCCGCGAAGUGGUGAAUUGUGCGCGAGUGCGUCCUUCACACGCAAGAAGUGUGUCCUCAAUGCGCCAUUAAUUUACUAGCGAGCGGGGUGCUACCCCAAGUUGUUUCAACUUUGUUUUUUCACCGCGUGUCAGAUGGGCCUCUUGUUUACUUAUUUUCACCCACUGCCACAUGGGCGAGCACACGAAGAUACAGAACACGAGCUGACAAGGAAGCAUGUGGAUUGGUUGAAUGGUGAACUAAACAAUAUAUGGAGCUAUUUUCUGACACAGUGAGCAUAUAAUCCGUCGGUAUAGAGAGUUUGAGUGAGAGGGGAGGCCCGUGAAGAUAGCAGAGAGAGAGAGAGAGAGAGAGAGAGAAAGCUACUCCCUCCAUUCGAUAAUGUAGUUCCAACAUUUUUUUUAAUGUCAAACUUUUGAAACUUUGACCAAGUUUAUAAAGAAAUUACUUAUAUCUUCAAUACCAAAGAUAAAUGAUACUAUGGAGUAAGUACAUGUUGUGAUGAAUCUAAUCAUCGUUCCAGAUGUAAAUGUUUUUCUCCACAUAUACCUGGUCAAACUUUUCUGAGGUUUGACUUUUCAAAACAUCCAUAUGCUUAUGGACGUCACUACUAGGAAAUGGGCUAUAGAUAGGACUGAUCCUAAUGGCGCACCAGGUAAGUAGUGCGCCACUACUAUAUACUAAUGGCGCACCGGUUGCUCGUGCGCCAUUAGUGUGGAAGACACUAAUGGCGCACCGUGCACGGUGCGCCACUACUAUUGAUUUUUUCCCCCAUUUUUCCAAACAAACUAAUGGCGCAUGGAUGGCAAAGUGCGCCAUUACUAGUUAGAACUAGUAAUGGCGCACGACCAAGCCAGUGCGCCAUUAGUAUAUAAUUUUUUUUUACUUUUUUGCAAACCUACUAAUGGCGCACUAUGCCAAAGUGCGCCAUUAGUAGUUUAAACUACUAUUGGCGCACUGUGCCACGGUGCGCCAUUAUCAUAAUUUUUUUUUACUUUUUUGCAAAACUACUAAUGGCGCAUGUCACUGUGGUGCGCCAUUAGUAUGUUGGGUUACUAAUGGCGCAUGGCUUAGUGGUGCGCCAUUAAUAACCUGGGACCAGCUAUAUAUUUUUGGACAACCACACCUACACACUCACUUUCCCCACUUCAUUCCCCCCACCUCCUUCCCUAAGCUUGUCGGCUGCCUCCUCCUCCUCACCUCAUUUGCACCAUAGAUUCAUCAAAAUUAAGUGGUGAAAUUACCUUUUUUGAUAGGUAAGUAAGGGGAAAGCUAUCUUCAUGUUGUAGAUCUACUUUUUUUCUCCCUAGCUCGCUCCAACAACGUGCACAUGCACUUUUUGUGGCCUGGCUAGAUCUAUGUAUGUUUGUGGUGUUUCUUGUGUUUGUGGUGUUGCAUAUAUGUUUGUGUUUGCAGGUACCGGUAUUUGAAAUGCGAUAGUUGCCAAUAUUUUGCCGGAAUGUUGAUUCAUUUCCGUUUUGGCGAGAAUUUUGGCACUAUGCAUUCUUUUUGGUCCUAUUUUUAGGGAAGGUCAUGCCAAAAAAUUUCUUGGUUCUAAAAUAUCGUUUUGCUCUACCCCGCAGGGGACCAUGGUCCGCACGAUGACCGAAGGCAUCGUGAAUAGGUUUUUGAGCUCCGCGAAGGCCGAGAUGCUUCAAAAGAACAAGACUGAGAUAAGAUGUCUGUGUCGAAGAUGCAAGCUGAAGAGCCUUAUUGCGGACCCGGAUUCCGGGCAGGUGCGGGACCACCUGCUCUUGCGUGGUUUCAUGGAUGGCUAUUGGUGGCAAGGUGAUGAAGAUGACUAUGAAGUCGUCCAUGGGGGCCGGGCAAGAAAUGAGGAAGGGCAACAAGACAACCACCGCGACGAGGGCGGGCGAGAAGACGAAGAAUCUCCAGGACAUGAUCACGACAGUGAUGAUGUACACAAUCAUCAUGUAGAAGAUGUCAUACAUGAUGAUGAGGAAGAUCAAGACGAAGGGCAUGAUCAUGAAGAUGAAGAUGCCGGAGCAGACGACGAUGGAGGCUGGGUGCAGGACCCUCAUAUUCAAGAGCUACUUCGCAAGCAGACGGAUAACGCAAGAGCUGCCACCCGAGAGAAAGCCAAGCUGGAUCAACUGGAGAUAGACGCGGUUACUCCAUGGUAUGAAGGAUGCAGGCCUGAGGAUACCCGCCUGAAAGUAACGCUCAUGGCUCUGGAGAUGAAGGUAAAACACAAAAUGACCGACGCAUGCUUCGACGAGAACAUGUCAUUCUGGCACGAACGUCUUCCCAAGGGGAACAAUUGCCCGACCAGUUUCGAGGAGGCGAAGAAAAUCGUGUGUCCUUUGGAUUUACCACACGUGAAAUACCAUGUGUGAAUGAACAAUUGCAUCAUUUAUCGGGACGAGCACGCGGAGUCUACCAUAUGUCCGGUGUGCGGCAUCACUCGAUACAAGAAGAGGAAGAAAGCUCCUCGAAAAUCAGUGUGGUACUUUCCGAUCACUCCUCGUCUGCAGCGGUAUUUCACGGACCCUAAGGUAGCGAAGCUCCUGCGUUGGCACGCGGAUAGGGAGGAGAAGAAGCGGGAAGAUGACGGAAAUGAUCCGGAGAUAAAUAAAAAAAGACAAGAUGCUGAGUCACCCUAAGGAUGCGAGCCAGUGGCAAGCGUUGAACUUCGAAUACCCAGAAUUUGGGACGGAUCCAAGGAACAUCGUGCUGGGCGCGAGCACCGAUGGAGUCAAUCCGUUUGGCAGCCAGAGAAGCACACAUAGCACCUGGCCUGUGUUUGUGUGGAUGUACAACCUUCCCCCCUGGUUGUGCAUGAAGAGGAAGUACAUUCACAUGAGUAUGCUAAUUGAAGGGCCGAAACAACCAGGGAACGACAUCAAUCUGUAUCAGGGGCUGCUGAAGGAGGAGCUAGACACACUGUGGAAAACGCCAGCCAAUACGUGGGACGCCGCAGAGAAAGAAUAUUUCCCUAUGAGAGCCGCACUACUCAUGACGGUGCACGACUAUCUCGGUUACGGAUAUCUCGCGGGGCAGGUAGUCCACGGAUUUUCUGGAUGCGUAAGGUGCAUGGAUGACACAACGUAUCGCCAGCUAGAUAGAGAUCCCGGGUCUUCGAAAACCGUGUUCAUGGGACAUCGAAGGUGGCUUCGCGACGAUGACCCAUGGAGGAAACGCAAGGAUCUGUUCGAUGGUGAAACCAAACCCCGAAAAUGCCCGUGUACAAGGAGCGGCGAGGAAAUAGACGAGCUGUUGAAAAAUUGGAAAGACUGCCCACUGCCGGGAAAAAAGGCGCCAGAGCCGGGAAAAAAGCGAAAGGCGCCAGAGCCGCUGCUGAAGGUAUGGAAAACGAGGUCUGUUUUCUGGGACUUGCCGUACUGGAAGAUCCACCGUGUGCCUCACAGCCUUGAUGUCAUGCAUAUCACGAAGAACGUGUGCGAGAGUCUGGUUGGUACCCUACUCAACAUGCCAGAGAUGACCAAAGAUGGGCCGAAAGCAAGGGCAGACUUGAAAUCAAUGGGCAUCAGGCAGGAGCUUCACGCUAAUGAUGAUGAUGAUGAUGAUGAUGAUGAUGAUGAUGAUGAUGAGGCGAAGCAGGACACAGAAAGUCGUCGCAAAGGCAAAAAGGCCAAGAAGACCGGAAAUGACUACCCUCCCGCGUGCUUCACUCUAAGUCAGGAGGAGAUCGAGCAGUUUUUCACCUGCCUCCUAGGAGUAAAACUUCCUUACGGUUACGCGGGGAAGAUAAGCAGAUACCUAGACCCAGCGAAGCAGAAGUUCAGCGGGAUGAAGUCUCACGACUGUCACGUGCUGAUGACGCAGAUACACUAAGAACCUUAGGCAUAAGGACCGAGGGAAUUUGCGCAGCCUCCUCUUCACGAAGCUGCACGAAGGGUACAAGUUCCCCGCCGAAUUUGAAAACACACGCCUCUCAGGGAAUAAAGUGAACAGUGCCGCCCUUUCUACUUGGAGAAGCGCGAUGAAGAGAAUGAUUGAUAAAGGUGAUAGUUAUGACAAGAUCAAGGCGAAAUAUCCUUUGAUGAGCAAAGAUCACUACAAGGAGUUCAAGAUAAAGUGCGAGAGCAGUGAAACCACCGAAUCAAGUCAGUGGGGGAAAGAAAUGCGGGAGUUGAACUUAGGGGAACACAAACUCGGUCCCAGCGGUUACAGAGUGGCGGAGCCUAUAUGGGACAAGGAGGACGCGGAGCGUGCCGAGCAAGGCCUACCGCCCCGCUUCGAGAAAUACAGCGGUAACAAGCAGACCAGGAACUAUGUCAGGGCCCGGUACGAGGAGGACCCGAUAACAAAGGAGCUUACCACGUAUCCGAAGACCAGGGCGCUUGAGCUUGUUCUGGUAAGGAAUACACCCCCGCGUAAUUAGCUCCAUAUGGUUGCACUCUAACUAAUCCCCAAUAUUUCUAAAUGGUUCACGUUCGUUUCGCAGGAAACUGAAAGCAGUAGCGCGGGGUCGUCUCAGAGCUCCCCUUUCGACAACACUUUAAAUAGGGCGUUGAACAUAAUGAAAAGCAAGGAUAAGCUCACUAAGCCGACGUCAGCUGGUCGUGUGGCCGGCAAAGGCUUGUCCACAAAAUGGGGGUCAUACUAUACUGCUGGUGUGCGGAAGGAGAAAAAGGCCAGCUUAGAGAGCCAGACGCGCGAGGUUGAAGCACUCAAGGCACAAGUGGCGCGGAUUACGGAGCUUGUCCAAGAGCAAGUGGAACAACAACUGGGAACGAAGCUCAAAGCCAUGGUGCCUACGUUGAUUCAUGGGCUGACGACGUGGAUUGCGGGUGGCCAACAGGGGCUUCCCCCGGUUCCCAGCUUCACGGCCAGCAACUCGCACAACGCGCAGGCGGCGCCAUUGGUGUCUCCGGCGGAGGCGGUAUUCGUGUCUCCGGCACCGGCACGGGCAUUGGAGCUUAAUGCACCCGGGUGUAAGCCGGCCGGCACCUCGCCAGCAAGCUCCCCCUCUGUCAGUUGCAUGCCCGCUGUUGGCGGUGCCUCGACAUUAGCCGAGCUCGAUGGCAUCACAGUAACUAAGCCUCUCGGCCGAUGACUUCACCUCCUUGCCUUUGACUGGGCAUCCCUGACGCCCUGUACAUGUUUUUGCAGGGCACCGCCGAUGUUCCUUGCACUCUUCUGCACUUCGUGGGCGCCGAGUUGGUCGAUGUCGCCAAGGGCAGAAUCGUUCAACCGGGCAACCGCAUGUUCCACGGUAAUCCGAUGCCACCCACAGUGUAUAGGGUUGAAGUGGUUCGGGUGCUACCAGGCUGCGACGAGCUGUUACCUCCGGAUCGACCCGCUGGGGCCGACGAAGAAGAUGAGAUGACCCUCAGCGCCUGCAUAAACUGGGCGCUGCUUUGGCCGAAGAGCCAGAUUCGUUUGGGGGCGGGGGACACCACCCCACAGACAAGACCGCCAGUCGUGCCGGCGCCAAGCCAUGGCAAGAACGCCGCAACGCUACCGGACCUGCCGGACAUCCCUAUGUCGGACAUCCCUAUGGCACAGGAUCCGGACAGCCCUAUGGCACAGGAUCCGGAUGACGACGACAACGACGGCGGUACAUUUUCCAAAGUCGACAAGUACUUUGCCGAACAUGGGUACGCUAACGAGUUCUGCAGGCCUCUUUCUCAAGAACCCAACCAAGACGACCGCAAUCUAGCUGGUACGGCGGAGAAAUCCAAUUGCAAUAGGCAUCAUAUGCCGUUCAGUUCUCAGGAGACGCCUCCAGCUCCCGCCUUCACCGAGCCUUAGAUAGCUGAGGUGCGAAAUAUUAUUAGCCCCAACACGCUCAAGAAAGCGGUCUGUGAGCAGACCUCGGUCCCAUUACAGGAGAUCAAGAAGAAGGGACGGAAACGAAAGACUAACAAGGGCGCCGGUGCGAGCCAGCCGGCAUCGAGUUUGAUCCGUGCUCAGGACGGGCCACCUUCACCUAAGGAUAUCCCGAGGAGGGUGCAUGUGGCGGGUAGGGCGAUGCUACCGCCAAAUAUGCUGAAUGCUGCAACCGGUGCUAUGCGGAGUCUGCACGACAGUGUUCUUUCUUUAGAGAAGCGGCGUCUGAGAGAGAAUGAUGUGGCAUACCCGGUUUUCGUGGCCAAGGUGCCAGAGGGCAAGGGCUUUGCGGAUGGCGACAUCGGGGGUACGAUCGUCCUGCAGUUUGAUGACAUCUUUGCUAUGUUUAACCUUCAUUCGCUGCACUACACCUUCGUUCAGCUGUUUUUGCUAAGUAUGGAGAUGCGGAUCAUUAGAGACAAGACCCCGGACAUCGUGAUAGUCGACCCCUUCUACAUGCGUGCCAAGCACUUGAACAGCGCUGGGGACCACCAAGUUGCGAGUUCACACCUCGAAGGCGUCAUUCUGGCAAACCCAGAUAAGGAUAACUUCCUUAUGCCUUACUUUCCCGAGUAAGUCAUCCCUUAACCGCCCCGUAACAUAUGAUUUCUUAGAUUUUGAUCGUUCUUUUUUUCUAACAUUCCAUGUUCUGUGCAGUGACACACAUUGCACACUCAUCCUCUUAAGCCCGAAAUAUUCCAUGGCCACGUAUUUCGACCCGAACCAUAACUCCAAGAUAGACUACACAAAUGUCAAGAAAGUUCUUGAUGAUGUUCUCCCCGGCUACGCCAAAUCUGGAGGCACCUUCACCAGGGCAGUUCGUAAGUACGGCAAGCACAUGUUCUCUCACAAUACGAAGUUCUGCUGUAUCAAGCAGCCGCCUGGCGGUCAGAAGGAUGCCUACUAUGCCCUCCAUCACAUGCGGGCGAUCGUAAGGGACCAUCAUCAACUUCUGCUACCAGAUAAUCUCAAAGAUUGGGCGGCGAGCUUGUCGGUAGUCCAGGACGCGAACCUCAGACAAGAAUUCUUUCGCAUCCAGUCGGAGUUUGUGGACAUCAUCCAUCAAGAUGUCCUUCAUACCUCGGGGCAGUUCUUCGUCAGAUAUCAACCGUCCAACAGUGAGAUAGAUGAAACGCUACAAAUGCAGGGUGACAACGACCGCGAUUUCAUGACCAUCACGACAGACGGCGGCUUCAUCCACGCUCCUGUCCGAUGAGUCGAGUCAAAAGUAGUGAUGUGUAGUUCAGAAACAUUGAUUAGCUCAUGUUGUAAUUAAACUUUAAUGAAUUCGUAUGUCUCUUUGGUUUGGACAGUCGUUCAACUUAGAUGUAAUCGAUGCUAUUUAUUAGUAGGACCAUGAAUCGUACUAUUAAUGUAUUGCUUUUCUCUUCCGAUCCUUUUGUUGCAUACUUACAUAUUGCUUAUGUAUUGUCUGUUGUUUGGCUUGUGCAUAGAGAUGCCGUCGUAUGUCGUGUACAAGGGUAAGGUUCCCGGAGUCUACGAUGACUGGGAGGAGUGUCGGAGACAGGUUCACCAUUUUAGCGGUAACAGUUACAAAGGGUACACCACUAGGGCGGAGGGCGAAUCUAGAUAUGCCCGCUAUCUAGCGGGAGAGAGGAGGGAGCGUUGGAGGAACCGGAUGAGGACCAGUUUGACCGUGAUGAUGCUCAUCGUGAUGACCACAACUCUCUUUUAUGUGAUGGUAGUUUAGAUGAUCGAUAUCGACUUGUAAUGUGAAGACAAACUCGAUACUCGCGGUCUUGAGACUAAUAUGAUGAAUUGUAUUCGGUCUUUUGAAUUCAGAGACUAAUAUGAUGAAUUGUAUUCGGAGGUGUGUGCGCGAUAGAAAGAUGCUCCGAUAGAAAUAGAGAUAGACCAUGCACAUGUUUGUGAUGGAGACUAAGAUUAGCUAGUCAUAUACAUAUAGGGGGGACUGCGUGUGCCUACAAUUGAGUGAGAGACCACCAUACUUGGCUAGAUAGGCAUGAGAUUGUGUGUGUGUGCAUGUGAGAUGGAGAGAGAAUGAGGGAGAGAGAUAGAGUUUUAGAUGGGCCUAUCGAGUGCGAGUGAGAUAUGCAUGUGUAUGUGUGACCCAGGUGGAUGGAGAGUUCGAGAGAGGGGGGAAGAGAUCCGAUACGACAGAGUGGUGCAUGAGAGAGUUACGGGCAAAGAGCCAAGGAAUUUGUGUGCGUACGAUGAGUGCACCCAAUAUAUCUAGCUUGGACUAGCUAGAGUAUCAUACAUAGUGUGCGAGAGAGACCUAUAGAUGGUGUAUAUAUGCAUGCGAACUCAAAAGAACCCCCCCCCCACACACACACACAGAGAGAGAGAGAUGGAGAGAAAGGGAGAGGCACCAACAAGGUUUUUGUGUCGGAUGCGUGCGGCAGAAUUGAAGAUUGUCGGCGAGAGAGAGAGGGAGAGAACAGGAGUCUGGGAGAGGGGGAGGUCGCGUUUUAUGCAUCAAAGACUGAUAUAAACCAUGUUUCGAUAUAAACUUGCAUUCAAAUAUUUAAAUUGGAGAACAUGUUGUCUGCAAUCCACACAUGAACGGAUAUAUGCGUAUAUCAAACAAGUUCAUUAAUUUGACUUUCAACACGUUCAUGGAGUACUAUAAUACUGUACAACAUGCUACUCGAUUGAGGUGUUCAAUUUUGGAUUUAGUUCACUAUUUUAACCUAGUGAACGAGCUAUUUCAUUGAAUCGAGAUAUUUCAUUUUGGGUUUGAUUCGCGUUUUUGUGUGGGUCAACUAUUUGUCAUAUAGUAAAUAGCUAGCAACCAGCAUGUAAAAACACAUUACUCCCGAGCAUCAUCUCUCCAUCUAAAAAAGAAGUGGCAAGCUAAUAUUUCAAAAUUUGAUUCGAAUGGACUUGGUAAGGUAGACUUGGAUGUUCGUUCUCCCAAAAUUUGAACGAACCGUUAAACAUCAUCUCUGCUCGGUGGAAUUCGCCCGAGCAAAUAAAUGGGAGAUGCUAAAUUACCGUCCUAUGUGGGACACGCAUCAAUUGGCCCGUUGUACAUCGAUGGUAGGUUCGUAACUUCAUCCAAGCGCGCCUUCUCCUCGGCCGAAAUGACAUGUGCCGAAUAAUUCAUAAACCAUGGUCGGCAAAACACGCUCUCCUCGCCCGAAAUAGCUCGCACCCACUAUUUCAAAACACUCUCUCCUCGCCCGAAAUCGCUCGUGCCCACUAUAAUUCAAAACACGCCCUCCUCGCCCGAAAUCGCUCCCGCCCACUAUUUGGGGAGAAGCAAAGUUACUAUACUAUCCCCGACGCUCAGUACAUAGACCCAAGCCGAGAAUCCUAAAGGCAAGGGUACAACUAUAACUCCCCCUCACAUUUCAGACAAAUGCGUCAGUAAGACAUGGUUCCACUCCCCUCCCAAUCCCCCCCAUUCAUACCUCGUGGGUGCCAAAUCACCUUAUCCCCGGGAAGCUCCCUUCUCCCGAGCCGUGAAACCUCAGCCCCACCUCCAUGGCUCCCCCUCCGGACCAACUUCACAGCCGCCCUCCUCCCUAAUGCCGGAGAUGCUGUCCACUUGCCGUCGUGCACUAGGCCAUGUGCCUCUUACUCCGUGCUGCUGGUGCUGCCUCGACGACGGCCGCGUGAACCAUACCGGAGCCGAUUCACCCCCGCCGUUGUUCACGGCGCCGGAGCGGCUCCAACUUCGGAUCCGUCCAGAGUCCUGGUGCUGCUUCCCCAUAGUCGUCGACCGUCGUGACAUCGCUAUUUCCCUGCCACCGGUCGCCAUCGCAACCGUGCCGGCCUCACCGACUCGGCAGCUGAACCUGCCUACUUCACCAUGCUACUAGAUAGGUCGCACCCUCAUCUCAAAUCACUUUAUUUAGGUGUCAGUUGUCUGAAUUUUUUUUCUGGGCAAAUUGAUUCCCAAUGAGAAGUAGCACCCCUCGAGGCGGUGGAGUUCCUAGGCUGCCGGUUGGCUGGUGUCUAACGUAAGUGUGCGGGGCCGCAUGUUCGUCGUGGAAGAAGCUCUUAGAUGGCUAUCUUUUAGAGUUGCGUGGGUUGAAGGUACUGCCGCCGCCAGAUCUGGAUGACGGGGAGUCUUUGUGGAUUGGCAUGGGGGCGGCGCAACCACGACAGUGUGGUGGGGCGGGGAGCAGGGUUUUGGCCGGGGCCAUGGACGGCGGAGGUAGGCUGCUCUACCGUUGGUCGCUGGCUCUUCGGGGAAGAUUUCAAACAGUGUCAGCCGGGAGGCACAAGACGGCCAUCAAGCCAUCCGGCGUAGAUCGGACAGUACCAAAAUAAAAUAAAAUUGUGUGACCCCAAUUUAGUCUUCAGUCAACAGACGUGUGACCACUCUUGUACCUUGUUAUUGAUCUCUUAGUGUAUUUCUUCAUAUCAAAGAUAUGUCGUUCUUAACAUUAUGCGUUAUCUGCAUCUUCAGACACACCGUCUUCCAACUCACCAUACCUGCUCCAACAAGGGAAGCAUACACUAGAAGGGAGCUAUAGUCCCCACUCAACAGAUCCCUGCAAUGAAUGCGCGUGCCCGACAUGGACAGCCACAACAGCUGCAGGGCCAUCGACAAGUCAGCACAUGAUGCUCACUCCUAUGGAUGGUAGCCAGAUAGGUUGUACCCUCAUCUUACUUGUGUGCAACAUUUAUCGCUUUGUUAUUCAUCUAAGCAUGGAAAAUAGAUCAUCACAUUUCACUGUAUAUUCAUGCUGAUCUCUUAAGGGUCCUGUUCAGUCGUUAACGUUGUUCCAUAGUUCAGCUAAGAUACUUGUUCUUUAGGUACCACUGUUCCAUAGUUAUCAUCCAUCAGCCAAUGCUAUCACACAAGCUAGUGAUUAUAGUAUUAUACCACUUCUAGUAUUACCUAUGUUGUUCUUUAAUACUUUUGUGUGCCAUCUAGUUAAUCUUACAAAUGAUACAUAUUCUGUAGCUUUCAUCUGUGUUCUCCCUUUAGUUUAUGAGACCUGUUGCUGCUAGUUAACCCAGUCCUACUAUUUAUGUCAUCUCCUACAGGCACUCAUUACAUAAAUCUAACUACUAGUUGUCUUCCAUGCAUGUCAUAUAUAAUUGCACACACUGAUAUAUCCACAAGAACCUCACGGAGCAAUGUAAAGGCCAAUAAACUUGAUGUCAAUGAUACCCAAUAUGAUGGAACAUGUAAAGGCAGUUCUUCAGAAGACUUGCAGAAAGAUGAUGAAUCCUCUUCACCCCACAAGGUCCUUGCUCUAACUUGGCCAGUGAUAUGGGUACAACAUGCAUAUAAUGUCCUGGAGUGUAUCUACUCUAUUGCAAUGCCAUGUGCUUAGCAUGUUGAUCAUGCAUGGAAAUAUGGCAUGACUUCCUGUUUUUCAAUACCUAUUCCAUUCAUGAUAACAUGUUUUCAAAUUCAAGUACUGUCAUUCUACUCUAUCGCAAUGCCAUCUGCUUAAUUUGGACAUCAUGCUUCUGAAUAUCUUAUGCAUUGUUAUUCAUCAGUAUGUACUUCAUGUGUCUACCAUACCAUGUUUGUUUACAUUGAAGUUUUGUUCUAGUGCUCUGUUGCAAUGUCAUCUUAGUUUCCCAAUCAUACACAUGUAUGUUGCCUUAGUUAUUUCUGUAUGUAUUCCGCUAGCAUACAGUUUUACAUUCAACUAGUGUUUUUUUUGCUGUGUUGUCCUGUCAUAUCCCUAGCUCUUACAUCAUACUCCCUCCGUCCGGAUUACAUGUUGCUAAAAUGGAUAAAAAAGGAUGUAUCUAGAACUGAAAUACGCCUAGCCCAUCCAUUUUUUUCUGGAUGGAGGGAAUACAUGUCAAUAUGUCAUGCCUUUCUAUUCUUUAGUACCUAUUCCAUCUCUCUGUUGUAGCAUGUUUUAUAAUUAAAGCACCAUUCUUCUAUACAAAGCAUGUGUCACAUCCCUAGUCUGGUAUGACCUAGACUAGCUAGUCAUUUGUGCAUCAUGUUUAAAUUUCAUUUAAAUUUGAAAUGAGGAUUGGUGGAACCCUCAGAAUCAUUUUUGAAAAUGACCCAAAUAAAAAUUUCUCCAAAAGGGUCCAAGAAAAUGCUCAUGUUGCUCUCUGAAAAUAUUGGACAGAGAUAAAAAAAUCAAAACAAUAUUUUUAGGAGCUCAUGGAUAUUUAUUUUGGCCAUUUGGAUUCAUUCGAUAAAUAUUUGCAUUGGAAAUAUAUUGCUAUAUAUAUGAAAUAUGGUCCAAAAAUUGUGCCAUUUAUAAAGGAGCUCUGGAAUAAUAUAUCUAGCUCCUGCAAAAAUUGGCAUAAGGUAAUAAAUUGAUUUAGUAUUUUAUUAAAUCAAACUAAUGUCAGAAAAAUUAGAAAACAAAAAAAAUAAAAGAAGGAGAAGCUUACCUGGGGCUCCCCCCCGCGCAGCCCAGCAGCUGGCCCAGCCCACCUGCCCCCCCCCCUCCUCUAUCGUCUUCCUCCCCGACAGGGGGGCNNNNNNNNNNNNNNNNNNNNNNNNNNNNNNNNNNNNNNNNNNNNNNNNNNNNNNNNNNNNNNNNNNNNNNNNNNNNNNNNNNNNNNNNNNNNNNNNNNNNNNNNNNNNNNNNNNNNNNNNNNNNNNNNNNNNNNNNNNNNNNNNNNNNNNNNNNNNNNNNNNNNNNNNNNNNNNNNNNNNNNNNNNNNNNNNNNNNNNNNNNNNNNNNNNNNNNNNNNNNNNNNNNNNNNNNNNNNNNNNNNNNNNNNNNNNNNNNNNNNNNNNNNNNNNNNNNNNNNNNNNNNNNNNNNNNNNNNNNNNNNNNNNNNNNNNNNNNNNNNNNNNNNNNNNNNNNNNNNNNNNNNNNNNNNNNNNNNNNNNNNNNNNNNNNNNNNNNNNNNNNNNNNNNNNNNNNNNNNNNNNNNNNNNNNNNNNNNNNNNNNNNNNNNNNNNNNNNNNNNNNNNNNNNNNNNNNNNNNNNNNNNNNNNNNNNNNNNNNNNNNNNNNNNNNNNNNNNNNNNNNNNNNNNNNNNNNNNNNNNNNNNCGUAGCCACCGCGCCCCUCGAGAGCAUCUGAGCAGUCCACGAGCUCCGCCACGUCGCCGGCUACCUCCUCGUCGAGCCACGCACCUCCGGACGGCCUCCAUCGCCGCCAUCGCCAUCGUCUUCCUCCUCGGGCUCCGCCGUCCGCCGCCGUCGAUUCGCCGUCACCAGGUCUCCCCCGACCCCGCUGUGCUGCUCUGCGUGAUCGCCGUGUGCAUCUCCCUGUUUCCCCUCUCUUCUCCCCCUUGUUCCCGUGGCAUAGCCGUCGCUACCACCAUGGCCGAAGCCAUCGCCGCCGCAGCUCCUCGCCGUCGUGGCUAGAGCCACCGCAGCCCGUGCCUGCACCUGCCACCGCGCUCAGUAGCCUCCCAGAAGGCCAACGCCUCCGCCCGCAGCUCCUGCCAUGCCCUGCAGCACCCGCUCGCGCCUCACCCGAACUCCGGCGGCCGCCCCGAGCUUCGCUCCGGCGAGAUCCACCGCCCCCGCAGCCUCCCGCAUGAACCACUAGAUGCGCGCGAGCCGGGGCUUCGCGUGGGUGGUCUCCGCCGCCCGAAUGGUCGCCGGAACGGCGAUCCCGAUCCCCUCCGCCGCGUUCGGCCUAGCCGGCGGCUAAACGCCGGCGAGAUUGACCGGGUCAACCCAGCUANNNNNNNNNNNNNNNNNNNNNNNNNNNNNNNNNNNNNNNNNNNNNNNNNNNNNNNNNNNNNNNNNNNNNNNNNNNNNNNNNNNNNNNNNNNNNNNNNNNNNNNNNNNNNNNNNNNNNNNNNNNNNNNNNNNNNNNNNNNNNNNNNNNNNNNNNNNNNNNNUUUUUUUUGAUUAGGAUUAAACUAACCCUGUUUAACCCCCUGUCACUGACGUGUGGACCCCACACGUCAGGUUUGACCCCAGCCAGCCGCAGUUGACCGCUGACGUCGUGCUGACGUCAUGCUGGCGCAAUAUUUAUUUCUGGAUUUAAAUUAAAUCAGAAAAUUCCAGAAAUUGUUUUAAACUUCAAAAAUUCAUAACAAUUCAACCGUAGCUCAGAUUAAAAUAAUUUAUAUAUGAAAAAUUAUCAGAAAAAUGUAAUCUAUCCAUCUGUACUAGUUUCAUGCAUGACAAACCAACUUAUACAUGCUGAAUAUGAGAAAACGCAUUAUGGCAUAUAUAGGAGCUUAAUUUGGAGAUGCAUUUGAACCUUUGGUUCAAAUGGACUUCAAACCAAAUGAAUACUAGUUGCAUUAGCUCAAACAACAUCACAUCUUCAUGCCAUGUUCAUGCAUCAUAUUGUUGCAUAUGUUUGUGUAAUGAUUGCCGGCACCGUUCCUUCUCGAUAGGUCUUGCUCCGGAGACCGUUCCAGAGUACCUGUCUGUGAAGCAGUGCCUCCUCUGUUGAUUUACCAGGCAAGCAAACCCCCUUGUUCAUUUCAAUAAAACCCUACUCUCUCGCUCCUGCUCUCAGUUAUUGCAUUAGGACAACAACGAUUCAUCUGUUACUUAGUGCUGCGGUAGUUGAACCUAUUCCUCUGCAUGACCUGUCAUUGCCACAGUAAAUAGUUGAAACCCACUAGCAUGUGUAGGAGUUGAUUGAGCCAUGUUGUGUUCCUACCAUGCUAUGCCUGCUAUUGCUUAGAGUUGUGUCAGGUCUGAUUCAUUGGGAAUGAAUUGGAGUGUUACGAUAUGUUCUGGUGCUGAUAGUUAAGUGUGUGAACACGAUUUGGUAAAGGUAGCGGUGAGAGGCCAUGUAGGAGUACAUGGUGGGUUGUCUCACUGGAACCGUCCUUAAGCACUGAGUUCUAUGUAUGUUGUCCAAUGACUCGAUGCUACCACACAUUGGGUUCCGGUAACUCGACCCCUCUCGACUUAUUAACCAACUUGGUCUCUGUCCAGGAGUCGCAACUAGUUUCUGGUGUUUGUAGGUAGUGCUAUUUUUCUACCAAGUGGCACCCGGCAGGGUGGGCUUGGGACAGACUAGGCACACGUGGCCUGGUGUACCGAGUGGCACCCGGAUGGUGGGCUCGGGAACCCUGUACACAUCGUUUGGGGCCGUAAGCGACACCCCGGCCGGAUCUCCUUGCGGAUGGAACCCGAAUAGGCGAUAACCCUGGACUAGAGUCUUGUGUGGUUAGUCAGGUCGUGGCCGACACCCUCGCCAGGCUUCCGCUUGAAGGUUGCCGAGAUACAUGACGUGUACAUGGCGGUAAGUGGCGAGAGCGUGUGUGAAGAAGUACACCCCUGCAGGGUUAACAUGAUCUAUUCGAAUAGCCGGGUCCGCGGUUAUGGACUUCUUGGAUGCUUACAUGGUACAUAGACAACUUGAAGUGGAUACUAUAAAAUGCUCAAGACAAGUGUGAGUGCUAUGGAUGGCCUUCUCGUAGGGAGACGGGGAUGAAUCCAUAAUAGUGUAUUGUGUGGUGAUUAGUGGACUCGUGUACGUUGUUUCACCUCCAGAGUUUCUGGUAGUCGUAGAACAGGAUAGCCACAGAGUCAAAGAUGGCUUGCUGCAACUAAACCCCACGUUACCCUCUUGAUACAAAUGCAUGUAUGAUAGGAUCUGAUGUAAGUCUUGCUGAGUACCUUUGUACUCAUGUUGCUUUAUUUAUGUUUUUUGUAGCGGAGACUUCGGUCUUACUAGUGUUCUCGUGGACUUCGACUAGUAGCUAGUACCUCAGCUACGAUCUUGAGUGGACGUUGUAGAUAGUCAGGCUUUCAGCCUUUUUCAUUUAUAGAUGUCUGUACUCAGACAUGUAAUGCUUCCGCUUGUUGCUUGAUUGCUCUGACUGUUGGGUCAUGUGACACCUGUUUGUAAUAAUGCUGUGAUGGCUCUUCUGAGCCUUUAUCUAUAUAAGUUGUUGAGUUAUGCUGUGAUGCCAUGUUGUACAGCACAUACUUGCAUGUUAUGCGUACGUGUAAUGUGUAUUGCUAUGUGUGGGAUCUGACUAUCUAGUUGUUUAUCCUUAGUAGCCUCUCUUACCGGGAAAUGUCUCCUAGUGCUUCCACUGAGCCCUGGUAGCUUGCUACUGCUCCGGAACACUUAGGCUGGCUGGCACGUGUUCUUCUUCGAUCCUGUGUAUGUCCCUUCAGGGAAAUGUCACGCGAUGAAUACCGGAGUCCUAUUAGCCUGCUACAGCCCAGUUCACCGGAGUCCUGUUAGCCCAGUGCUACAGCCUGGAUUCACUCGCUGAUGACCGACACGUUUGAUGCUGGGUCAUGGAUGCCUGUCCCUGUAGGUUAGUGCCACUUUGGGUUUACAACUAGCCAUGUCAGCCCGGGCUCUUUAUCAUAUGGAUGCUAGCGACACCAUCAUAUACGUGUGCCAAAAGGCGCAAACGGUCCCGGGCAAAGGUAAGGCGACACCCGUGGGGAUACCGUGCGUGAGGCCGCAAAGUGAUAUGAGGUGUUACAUGCUGGAUCGAUGUGGCAUCGAGUGCGGGUCCUGACAGCGCUGGUAUCAGAGCCUGACUGCCUGUAGGAUUACCAAGCCAAACUGGUCGAAGUCGAGUCUAGAAAUUCUUUAGUUAUGUAAGGGAAUUGAUUGUGGGUUGGAACGUAAGGCUCUUUUUACUCCUUAUACCUCAUGACCUUCUGAUCUGAGUCGUCCUAUCUUUCCGACGGGAUUAAGGAACUAGGCUUCUCUUCCGUCUAUCAGGAUCACGUGUUACUACUCCGUAGUUCCAUAGGAUUGGUUGAUCAGAGUCAUACCCCAGUUUUGAGUAUUUCCGGUGUAGUCUGUUUAGUAUGAUCUCAGAACCUUGAGUAAUGCUGAUGAGUAUGUUAUUGCCCCAUUUUAGUAGGAUGUCUCAUUCUGAGCUUUUUACUGCCGUUAUGCUGCCGGAAUUUUCCUAGGAGUUCGAGAGAUACUAAUUCCUUGUCCUACAUUCUACAGUCUAUAGUUGAUGCUGAUUCCGUCCCUGGUUUUCGUUUCUCAGGAUGUCAUCAAGUUCUAUUGUUCGUAGCCGGAACCAUGAGGAUGGUAGGGAUGAGGAUCCUCCCGACCAGCCUUCGUUGACAGAGUUCAUGCUAGAGAUGGAGAGGAACAAGCGUGAGUCUAACCGUUUGUUGGCACGUAUCGAGGAGAACACCGCACAUCAGUUCAAAGGGUCUGCUACCAUUCAUGAUUUCAUUCGCUUGCACCCACCUACCUUUCAUCAUUCCUUCGAGCCACUCGAUGCAGAUGACUGGCUCCGUAGCAUCACUCAUAAGCUGCUUUCCGCGAGCGUAGCUGAAGAUGACAAGGUCACUUAUGCCACAUACCACCUGGAAGGUCCUGCUAGUCUUUGGUGGCAGAACUAUGAGAUUUUGCUUCCAGCUGGCCAGAUUCCUACCUGGAGAGAUUUCACUGAGGCUUUUCGCGAGCAUCACAUUCCCCCGGCCCUCAUUGAUCGCAAGAGAGAAGAGUUCUAUAGUUUCACCCAGAAUAAGAUGGUUGUUGAUGCUUACAGUCGAGAGUUUGAGAACCUCGCUCGCUAUGCCACAGAAGAAGUGUCCACAGACGCCCAGAAGCAAGCUAGGUUCCGGAAGGGUCUCAACCCCAAGUUGCGUCGUGAUCUCCACCUGCAUCAUUGCGAUACAUUCCAAGCCCUUGUGAACAAAGCCAUUAAUGCAGAGACAGCUCAACUCACUUAAGAGGGGUCUCGUAAGCACACCCGUAAUCUGGGAUCUUCCUCUGGCUCUAGUUCCCAGAAGCGCCGGAUUUGGGUUCCAAACUCCGCUCUUCCUUACGGAUAUACGCCGGGGCCAUCCUCUGUGGUGCCUUCCCCAGCUCAGUCGUAUAUCCCACCCUUGCCUACUGGUAGACCACUUGUCAGUGCGGGUCCACGUCCAACCUCAGGGACUUGCUUCACAUGCGGGAAGCCAGGACACUAUGCACGUGACUGCUCUCAGACUAGUUAUGCUCCACCCAAGGCCGAGAAGACUGUUGGCUGUAUUAAGCCAUCACGCAAGAUGAUCAGUGUCAAGUCAGUUCCCACUGAACGUGGACGUGUGCAUCACGUCUCAGCUAAAGACGCUCAUGAUGAUCCAGAUGUCGUUCUUGGUACACUCCUUGUCAAUUGUCACCCAGCGUCAGUUCUAUUCGAUACUGGGGCAUCUCACUCCUUCAUUUCUGAAGGCUAUGCUCGUUUGCACGACAUGUCAUUUUGCGAUAUGCCAACUCCGCUUGAAAUCCAAACCCCAGGGUCUAGAUGGUAGACCACCAGAAUCAGCCAUGGUAACGAAAUCCUUGUUGAUAGACUUGUAUUCCUUGCAUCACUUGUAGCCCUCAAGUCCUCAGAUAUUAACAUCAUCUUGGGUAUGGACUGGAUGACAGCUCAUCAUGCCAAGAUUGAUUGUUACACAAGAUCUGUUCAGCUUACACACCCAUCUGGCAAGAUAGUCACCGUCUCCACUAGAGUUGCAAAGCGUCAGCUCUAUUCUCUUAAUGCCAGCCCUCUUCCAGACCUUGAAGAUAUCCCGGUAGUCCGUGACUUUCCGGAUGUCUUUCCAGAGGAACUGCCAGGUGUUCCACCUGACAGAGAAGUAGAGUUUGUCAUAGAUCUUAUCCCAGGAACAGCUCCAAUCUCCCGGAGACCUUACAAGAUGGCACCCUUAGAACUAGCCGAGCUUAAGAAACAACUUGAUGAGUCCUUGCAAAAGGGUUUCAUCCGUCCUAGUUCUUCUCCUUGGGCUUGCCCCGUCCUCCUUGUUACGAAGAAAGACGGUACGGACCGGAUGGUUGUAGAUUAUCGUCCCAUUAAUUUGGUCACGAUAAAGAACAAGUAUCCGCUCCCCAGGAUCAACGACCUGUAUGACCAGCUCGCUGGAUCCUCAGUCUUCUCCAAGAUGGAUUUGAGGUUAGGAUACCACCAAAUCAAAAUCAAAAACGGGGACAUUCCCAAGACAGCUUUUGUCACUCGUUAUGGCCAGUACGAGUACACCGUCAUGUCCUUUGGUCUAACUAACACUCCAGCUACAUUCUCCCGCCUGAUGAACUCGAUCUUCAUGGAGUACUUAGAUAAGUUCGUCGUGGUUUACCUCGAUGACAUUCUUAUUUACUCGAAGAACGAGGAAGAGCAUGCCGAACAUCUUAGACUUGUUUUAGAAAAACUCAGAGAGCACCGCCUUUAUGCCAAGUUCUCCAAGUGUGAAUUUUGGUUGCCAGAAGUGACCUACCUAGGCCACGUAAUCUCUGGUAAGGGCAUUGCUGUCAAUCCCGAGAGAGUCAAGGCCGUUCUCGAUUGGACUCCACCUGAAACAGUCAAACAAGUUAGGAGUUUCCUUGGGCUAGCCAGUUAUUGUCGCCGCUUUGUUGAAAACUUCUCCAAAGUAGCCAAACCCCUCACGGAACUUCUCAAGAAAGAUAAAAAGUUCCAGUGGUCCCCACAGUGUGAGUACAGUUUUCAGGAACUGAAAAGACGCCUGACUUCUGCUCCCAUACUUGUGCCACCGGAUUUCACUAAAGACUUUAUUAUCUACUGUGACGCCUCACGACAGGGACUAGGUUGCAUUCUUAUGCAGGAUCGUCAUGUGAUUGCCUAUGCAUCUCGACAGUUGCAUCCACAUGAGGAGAAUUAUCCUACACAUGAUCUAGAGCUUGCAGCCGUAGUCUAUGCACUCAAAACCUGGCGACAUUACCUCCUUGGUAAACGUUGCGAGAUCUACACCGAUCACCAGAGUCUCAAGUAUAUCUUCACCCAACCAGAUAUGAACCUUAGGCAAAGACGUUGGUUGGAGUUAAUCACAGAUUAUGAUCUAGGGAUUACCUACACCCCAGGCAAAGCCAAUGUCAUGGCUGAUGCUCUAAGCCGUAAAUCUUAUUGCAAUAAUCUCAUGUUGCAGGAAGGCCAACCACUUCUCCAUGAGGAAUUCUGUAAGCUUAAUCUUCACAUAGCUCCUCGCGGAUUUCUUUCUACCUUGGUGGCAAAACCUACCCUUUUGGACCUUAUCAUAGAAGCCCAGAAGCAUGAUACGGGGGUUACCCGGAUCAAGAGAAACAUUAAGAAGUGAGUUGGUGGAUGUUUCUCUAUGGAUGAUCGUGGUGUUGUUUUCUUUGAGAAUCGCUUGGUGGUUCCCAAGAAGCAACAUCUUCGGCAGUUGAUUCUUAAGGAGGCGCAUGAAUCUCCUCUCACGAUUCAUCCCGGUAGCACUAAGAUGUAUCAGGACCUACGCCAGAGGUUAUGGUGGACUAGGAUGAAGAGAGAAAUCGCUGAGUUCAUUUCUAAAUGUGACGUUUGUCGUCGCGUUAAGGCAGAGCAUCAGAGACCUGCUGGCACCCUUCAGCCUUUAGCUAUUCCUGAAUGGAAAUGGGAUAAAGUUGGUAUGGACUUCAUCACCGGCUUUCCCAGGACCAAGAGAGGGAAUUAUCUUCGUAGUCGUUGAUCGUCUUUCCAAAGUGGCUCACUUCCUUCCUGUUCGAGAAAAUAUCACUGCUAGUCAGCUUGCUGACUUAUAUAUUUCUCGAAUAGUGUCACUGCAUGGUGUUCCACUAGAGAUCAAUUCAGACCGUGGCAGUCUUUUCACUUCUCAUUUCUGGGAGAGUUUCCAAACUGCCAUCGGAACCCAUCUUUCCUUCAGUACCGCUUUCCACCCUCAGUCGAGUGGUCAGGUGGAACGGGUCAAUCAAAUUCUCGAAGACAUGCUCAGAGCUUGCGUUAUCUCAUUCGGUAUGGAUUGGGAGAAAUGUCUUCCUUUUGCCGAGUUUGCUUAUAACAAUAGCUAUCAAUCCAGCCUCAAGAAAGCUCCUUUUGAGGUUCUCUAUGGACGAAGAUGUCGAACACCUUUGAACUGGUCAGAAACCGGUGAAAGACAAUUCUUUGGACCGGAUAUGAUCCAGGAGGCAGAAGAGCAAGUUCGCAUCAUUCGUGAUAAUUUGAAAACAGCCCAGUCUCAUCAGAAGAGCCAGUACGAUCGUCAUCAUAAGGAUAUGACUUAUGAAAUUGGCGACCAAGCUUACCUUCGGGUUACUCCUUUGAAGGGUACCCAUCGUUUCGGUAUCAAGGGCAAGUUGGCUCCUCGUUACAUUGGUCCUUUUCGUAUUCUCGCUAAACGAGGAGAGGUUGCCUACCAGUUGGAACUACCCCCACAUCUUUCUCGAGUUCAUGAUGUCUUCCACGUCUCUCAACUCAGGCGUUGCUUCUCGGAUCCCAUCCGCGGAGUGGACCACGAAACGCUUGAUCUCCAAGAUAACCUCACAUACCGAGAGUACCCGGUUCGCAUUCUUGAUCAAGCAGAGCGUGUCACUCGACGUCAGAACAUCAAGUUACUCAAAGUUCAGUGGUCUCAUCAUUCCGAGAGAGAAGCUACUUGGGAACGAGAAGAUCGUCUUCGACUAGAGUACCCCACUUUCUUUCCGUCGACCCCUGAAUCUCGAGACGAGAUUCUUUCAAGUGGGGGCGAGUUGUCACAUCCCUAGUCUGGUAUGACCUAGACUAGCUAGUCAUUUGUGCAUCAUUUUUAUAUUUCAUUUAAAUUUGAAAUGAGGAUUGGUGGAACCCUCAGAAUCAUUUUUGAAAAUGACCCAAAUAAAAAUUUCUCCAAAAGGGUCCAAGAAAAUGCUCAUGUUACUCUCUGAAAAUAUUGGACAGAGAUAAAAAAUCAAAACAAUAUUUUUAGGAGCUCAUGGAUAUUUAUUUUGGCCAUUUGGAUUAAUUCGAUAAAUAUUUGCAUUGGAAAUAUAUUGCUAUAUAUAUGAAAUAUGGUCCAAAAAUUGUGCCAUUUAUAAAGGAGCUCUGGAAUAAUAUAUCUAGCUCCUGCAAAAAUUGGCAUAAGGUAAUAAAUUGAUUUAGUAUUUUAUUAAAUCAAAUUAAUGUCAGAAAAAUUAGAAAACAAAAAAAAUAAAAGAAGGAGAAGCUUACCUAGGGCUCCCCCCCUCGCAGCCCAGCAGCUGGCCCAGCCCACCUGCCCCCCCCUCCUCUGUCGUCUUCCUCCCCGACAGGGGGACGGCGCGUGCCCGACGCGCGCGCACCGCCUCGCCGCGCCACCUCCUCCCUCCCUGCCUGCCUGUCCUCCCCUCGUCGCUCUNNNNNNNNNNNNNNNNNNNNNNNNNNNNNNNNNNNNNNNNNNNNNNNNNNNNNNNNNNNNNNNNGCCCGAACGCGCCCGUCGCCACCGCUCGCCGUAGUCGUAGCCACCGCGCCCCUCGAGAGCAUCUGAGCAGUCCACGAGCUCCGCCACGUCGCUGGCUACCUCCUCGUCGAGCCACGCACCUCCGGACGGCCUCCAUCGCCGCCAUCGCCAUCGUCUUCCUCCUCGGGCUCCGCCGUCCGCCGCCGUCGAUUUGCCGUCAACAGGUCUCCCCCGACCCCGCUGUGCUGCUCUGCGUGAUCACCGUGAGCAUCUCCCUGUUUCCCCUGUCUUCUCCCCCUCGUUCCUGUGUCGUAGCCGUCGCUACCACCAUGGCCGAAGCCAUCGCCGCCGCAGCUCCUCGCCGUCGUGGCCAGAGCCACCGCAGCCCGUGCCUGCACCUGCCACCGCGCUCAGUAGCCUCCCAGAAGGCCAACGCCUCCGCCCGCAGCUCCUGCCAUGCCCUGCAGCACCCGCUCGCGCCUCACCCGAACUCCGGCGGCCGCCCCGAGCUUCGCUCCGGCGAGCUCCGCCGCCCCCGCAGCCUCCCGCAUGAACCACUAGAUGCGCGCGAGCCGGGGCUUCGCGUGGGUGGUCUCCGCCACCCGAAUGGUCGCCGGAACGGCGAUCCCGAGCCCCUCCGCCGCGUUCGGCCUAGCCGGCGGCUAAACGCCGGCGAGAUUGACCGGGUCAACCCAGCUAACUAACCCCCCCCCCCCGCUAAUUAAGUUAGAUUAGUGCUAAUCACCGCUUAGUUAACCCCCUGACACUGACAGUGGGCCCCAGUGCCACUAAUCUUUUUAAUUAGGAUUAAACUAACCCUGUUCAACCCCCUGUCACUGACGUGUGGACCCCACACGUCAGGUUUGACCCCAGCCAGCCGCAGUUGACCGCUGACGUCGUGCUGACGUCAUGCUGGCGCAAUAUUUAUUUCUGGAUUUAAAUUAAAUCAGAAAAUUCCAGAAAUUGUUUUAAACUUCAAAAAUUCAUAACAAUUCAACCGUAGCUCAGAUUAAAAUAAUUUAUAUAUGAAAAAUUAUCAGAAAAAUGUAAUCUAUCCAUCUGUACUAGUUUCAUGCAUGACAAAACAACUUAUACAUGCUGAAUAUGAGAAAACACAUUAUGGCAUAUAUAGGAGCUUAAUUUGGAGAUGCAUUUGAACCUUUGGUUCAAAUGGACUUCAAACCAAAUGAAUACUAGUUGCAUUAGCUCAAACAACAUCACAUCUUCAUGCCAUGUUCAUGCAUCAUAUUGUUGCAUAUGUUUGUGUAUUGAUUGCCGGCACCGUUCCUUCUCGAUAGGUCUUGCUCCGGAGACCGUUCCAGAGUACCUGUCUGUGAAGCAGUGCCUCCUCUGUUGAUUUACCAGGCAAGCAAACCCCCUUGUUCAUUUCAAUAAAACCCUACUCUCUCGCUCCUGCUCUCAGUUAUUGCAUUAGGACAACAACGAUUCAUCUGUUACUUUGUGCUGCGGUAGUUGAACCUAUUCCUCUGCAUGACCUGUCAUUGCCACAGUAAAUAGUUGAAACCCACUAGCAUGUGUAGGAGUUGAUUGAGCCAUGUUGUGUUCCUACCAUGCUAUGCCUGCUAUUGCUUAGAGUUGUGUCAGGUCUGAUUCAUUGGGAAUGAAUUGGAGUGUUACGAUAUGUUCUGGUGCUGAUAGUUAAGUGUGUGAACACGAUUUGGUAAAGGUAGCGGUGAGAGGCCAUGUAGGAGUACAUGGUGGGUUGUCUCACUGGAACCGUCCUUAAGCACUGAGUUCUAUGUAUGUUGUCCAAUGACUCGAUGCUACCACACAUUGGGUUCCGGUAACUCGACCCCUCUCGACUUAUUAACCAACUUGGUCUCUGUCCAGGAGUCGCAACUAGUUUCUGGUGUUUGUAGGUAGUGCUAUUUUUCUACCAAGUGGCACCCGGCAGGGUGGGCUUGGGACAGACUAGGCACACGUGGCCUGGUGUACCGAGUGGCACCCGGAUGGUGGGCUCGGGAACCCUGUACACAUCGUUUGGGGCCCUAAGCGACACCCCGGCCGGAUCUCCUUGCGGAUGGAACCCGAAUAGGCGAUAACCGUGGACUAGAGUCUUGUGUGGUUAGUCAGGUCGUGGCCGACACCCUCGCCAGGCUUCCGCUUGAAGGUUGCUGAGAUACAUGACGUGUACAUGGCGGUAAGUGGCGAGAGCGUGUGUGAAGAAGUACACCCCUGCAGGGUUAACAUGAUCUAUUCGAAUAGCCGGGUCCGCGGUUAUGGACUUCUUGGAUGCUUACAUGGUACAUAGACAACUUGAAGUGGAUACUAUAAAAUGCUCAAGACAAGUGUGAGUGCUAUGGAUGGCCUUCUCGUAGGGAGACGGGGAUGAAUCCAUAAUAGUGUAUUGUGUGGUGAUUAGUGGACUCGUGUACGUUGUUUCACCUCCAGAGUUUCUGGUAGUCGUAGAACAGGAUAGCCACAGAGUCAAAGCUGGCUUGCUGCAACUAAACCCCACGUUACCCUCUUGAUACAAAUGCAUGUAUCAUAGGAUCUGAUGUAAGUCUUGCUGAGUACCUUUGUACUCAUGUUGCUUUAUUUAUGUUUUUUGCAGCGGAGACUUCGGUCUUACUAGUGUUCUCGUGGACUUCGACUAGUAGCUAGUACCUCAGCUACGAUCUUGAGUGGAUGUUGUAGAUAGUCAGGCUUUCAGCCUUUUUCAUUUAUAGAUGUCUGUACUCAGACAUGUAAUGCUUCCGCUUGUUGCUUGAUUGCUCUGACUGUUGGGUCAUGUGACCCCUGUUUGUAAUAAUGUUGUGAUGGCUCUUCUGAGCCUUUAUCUAUAUAAGUUGUUGAGUUAUGCUGUGAUGCCAUGUUGUACAGCACAUACUUGCAUGUUAUGCGUACGUGUAAUGUGUAUUGCUAUGCGUGGGAUCUGACUAUCUAGUUGUUUAUCCUUAGUAGCCUCUCUUACCGGGAAAUGUCUCCUAGUGCUUCCACUGAGCCCUGGUAGCUUGCUACUGCUCCGGAACACUUAGGCUGGCCGGCACGUGUCCUUCUUCGAUCCUAUGUCUGUCCCUUCGGGGAAAUGUCACGCGAUGAAUACCGGAGUCCUGUUACCCUGCUACAGCCCGGUUCACCGGAGUCCUGUUAGCCCAGUGCUACAGCCUGGAUUCACUCGCUGAUGACCGACACGUUCGACGCUGGGUCAUGGAUGCCUGUCCCUGUAGGUUAGUGCCACUUUGGGUUUACAACUAGCCAUGUCAGCCCGGGCUCUUUAUCAUAUGGAUGCUAGCGACACCAUCAUAUACGUGUGCCAAAAGGCGCAAACGGUCCCGGGCAAAGGUAAGGAGACACCCGUGGGGAUACCGUGCGUGAGGCCGCAAAGUGAUAUGAGGUGUUACAUGCUGGAUCGAUGUGGCAUCGAGUGCGGGUCCUGACAGCAUGCAAGGGGAAGACGACUAUGUUAGAAUCUGAAGGGUUACAAACAAGGCCUUUGCAAAAGAUCCAAACGCCAGGAGAUAAUAAACCAACUCCAAUUUUUAUACAUACUGCUCCAGCACACAGAAACCCAACUCCUACUGAUAAUAAGCAGAUUCCAAUGGCCAAAUAACUAGUCCGCUCCAGUCCAGCAAAAAUAUGUCAACUCCAUUCUAAGAAGCGUGUGUGUAUCCUUUCAUUAUGAAAUUUUAUAGCAUGCUGAUCAUAUUUUCUACAUGUUUCUUACCCAUCUCUCUUUUAGAAAAUAAGCUUAACAGAUAGAAGAAUUUCUGCAAUGGUAUCGUUUAUGAGGAAAGAUUCUUGCAGGAAUUCUCUGUGCUCCAAUGUAGAUGUAAGUACUUGUUGUAUAUCACUAUUUUUACAUCAACAUGUAUUUUGUUAAUCAGAGUGCAUCCAACCUUUAUCUGAUCUAAAUUUAGUUGUAACAAAAUGUAUGAUUAAAGGCGCCAAUGUUGAUUUUUGUAAGGAAAACUGCCUGGUAGUUUUGCAUCCUGAGUUGCAUGAGUGUACUAUCUCAUAUCAGAGGGUUUGAAUACUUUGGUUUUGCAGUGGGUUUUUAGUGUUUUUGUUACUGUGUUGUCCUGUCGUAUCCCUAGCUCUUACAUCAUAAUCCCUCCGUCUGGAUUACAUGUCGUAGAAAUGGAUAAAACUGGAUGUAUCUAGAACUGAAAUACGCCUAGACCCACCCAUUUAUUUCCGGAUGGAGGGAAUACAUGUCAAUAUGUCAUGCCUUUCUAUUCUUCAGUAACUAUUCCAUCUUUGUUGUAGCAUGUUUUAUAACUCAAUCACCAUUCUUCUAUAUAAGACAUGCAAGGGGAAGACGACUAUGCUAGAAUCUGAAGGGUUACAAACCAGGUCUUUGCAAAAGAUCCAAACGUCAGGAGAUAAAAAACCAACUCCAUUUUUCAUAGACACUGCUCCAGCACAGAGAAACCCAACUCCCCCUGAUAAUAAGAAGAUUCCAGUGGCCAACGAACUAGUCCACCCUAGUACAGCAAAAGAAUGUCAACUCCAUUCUAAGAAGCGUGUGCAUAUCCUCGCAUCAUGAAAUUUUAUAGCAUUAUGAUCAUAUUUUCUACAUGUUUCUUACAAUCUCUCUUUUAGAAAAUAAGGUGAAACGAUAGAAGACUUCCUCCAUUGGGAUCGUAUUCGAGGAAAAUAUCUUCCGGGAAUUCUCUGUGCUCCAAUGCUGAUGUAAGUACUUGUUGUAUAUCACUAUAUUUUUACAUCAGCAUGUAUUUUGUUAAUCGGUGUGAAUCUAACCUUUGUCUAAUCUAAAAUUAGUUGUAGCAAAAUGUUAAAGGCGCCAAUGUUGAUUUUUGUAAGGAAAACUGCCUGGUAGUUUUGCAUACUGAGCUGCAUGAGUGUACUAUCUCAUAUCACGCACAUUACUGAAUUGUAGUGCUUCUCUGGUUGCCCAUUCAUUCAUUGUGUCAAUGUUGCUUUCGUAUUACCUUACCUGGCCGAUGAUAGUUGUGCCAUAUUGUGUUAAUUUGGUGUAGGCUAGUUGCCCAUACGUUCGUUGUGUCAAUGUUGCUUUCCUAUUAUCUAACUUGGCCAAUGAUAGCAAUGCUAGUGUGUCAAUUUUGUGCAGGCUGCUGAAGAUAAGAAGACAAUCUCUGAAAAGAGCAAGGCAACCCCAUUGUUUCUUUCCAAUAAAUCCAGGCCAAGUAAUAUGGCAAUAACUCAUGAUUAAUCUGUUUGGUUCCUAUCCUAAUUUAUGUUAUGACGCGGUGGUCGAGACACUCUCCACUAUCAAUAAUACAAGCCUGCCAAAAUCGCCAUCUGAAUCUGUUCAGCAUCCUCUUCCUCGAAUGCAACGGAAUAAAUGUAUGUUUGUGAACCAAUUAAUGGUUGAAGCAAUGAUGGAAAUGAUGGAUGAAUCAGAGGUGCAGAGUCGUGCGACACAACAACUGAUCAAUGUUUUCAGAGACAGUGUAGCAAAGCAGCAAGAACAUGCCCACAUGCUUAUGGGCGUCAUCAGUGCUGAGGUUGCAAAUUGUGACGUUGUAGAUGGUUAGGUUCUGCUCAUUUAUUUGCACUGGCAUCAAUCUUUGAUUGCCCAGUGGAUGCAAUUUCCUGUAACAUAUGCUGGAUGUGCAACGUUAUUCCCUGUAUGCCGUACCUUUGCUUGAUCAGUUUUGGUCCUGUGCAUAAUUGCUCGUCGUAAUGGGCUCAAAUUAUCUAAUUUGGCCUAAAGACAUGUACGAACUUUAGUGGGCCCAUUAAGUUAAUGGGCCGUUACUAGGCCGAAAGUUAAUGGUUGGCCUGCCUCUUACCUCCCGGGUCAUCAACAGGCCAACAUCAAAGCGGGCAACAGGUGGGCCCAAUUUAUUUUACGGGCCGUUAACAGGUCGUUACUAAGUUUGGGCUACAUAUGGCCCAACUAUACUGUAGGCCUUUAGCAGGCCGAAAGAGACAGCGGGCUUGUACUGGACCAUGAAGAGCAUGGGCCGCUAAGACGCCAAAAGUCAGGUCGUAUUGUAAAUGGCCCAACUGUGUUGUGGGCCUUUAGCAGGCCGAAAGAGAAACCGGGCUUGUAUUGGACCAUGAAGGGCAUGGGCCGUUAAAAGGCCAAAACUAAGGACCGACUACAAAUGGCCCAACUCAUUUAUGGUCCGUUAAUAGGCCGAAAGGCACACAGGGCCGGGAAUUGGCCCAACACUUAAAUGGGUCGCUAAAAGGCCAAAACUCAGGUCCGACUACAAAUGGCCCAAUUGAUUUAUGGGCCGUCAACGGGCUGAAAGUGACACCGGGCCAGAAAUUGGCCCAACACUUAAAUUGGCCGCUAAAAGGCCGAAACUCAGGUCCGACUACAAAUGGCCCAUCAGAUUUAUGGGUCGUCAACAGGCUGAAAGACACACCGGGACGGAAAUUAUCCCAACAUUUCAAUGGGUCGCUAAAAGGCCGAAAGAUGUACAUCCUGAAAAUUGGCCCAUCCAUUGAAUGGGCUGUUAACAGGCCGAAAUCUCAUCGGGCCGAUAUUGAGCCAAAAUAUAUAGUGGGCUGUUAAUGGGCUCGAACUGACGAUGGGUUGCAAUGGUGUUAAAUCUUUAACGGGCCGUUGACGGGCCGAAUUGGCACAUCUCGUAUGGGUCGUGGGCUUAAAUGGACCUGACACAAGUAGGCCUUAUAUGGGCCGGCCUGCUAAUUUUUACUGGGCCGGCCUUUUUCACCGGAAUGGGCCACUGUUGGGCUGUGCCACGUGUCGGCCUAUCAUAGGCGCCUCCUGUCCAAUGAGUGGAUGACAUCUGUCCCAAUGGUGAGGCAACACAUGUUUCCUGCGGCCAAUGAUGAUUUUACACGUGGAAAAUCCCCAUUUGUCCAGGCUAUUAACGGGCUAUCGGAUCCAAAACCGGACCCGAUAGCUUAACGAUGUUCCGUUACGAUGGAUGCCACAUGUCGGUCACCCUUGACGAAAGCACUUCUGUAACGCGCGGUUUAUCGUCAUGGAAGUGGACACUUCCGUGAUGAUAAUUUUGGUAAUGUCAUGGAACACUUCUAUGACAACACAGGUAUGACUAUCUUGAUUUUGUCAUAAAAUCGUCAUGGAUGUACAUGCAUGACAAAAAACAUGACCUACUGUGACAAACAUGUAUCAUCACGGAAGUGUAUUUUUUUGUAGUGAAAAACGGUUCGAAUAAUAACCGGGCCGCGGUGUGAUGUCACUCUGUGAAGAAAUUGUCAGCAGAUUAGACUUGUGAAAUAUUGUUCUCUCUACCGUGGUAUGUGGAAUUUGUUUUACAGAGCCGGACACGAUUCUUGUGUUCAAGAUCUACUUUGGAGUAUUCGGAGAAGGAACCCGCCUUGCAAUGCCAAAGACAAUCUGCGUGCCAGACUUAACAUCAUUGAAGCCUGGUUCAGGGGCUGCUGACGGAGUCCUGGAUUAAGGGGUCGUCGAAUAGCCGGACUAUAUACUUUAGCCAGACUGUUGGACUAUGAAGAUACAAGAUAGAAGACUUCAUCCCGUGUCCGGGUGGGACUCUCCUUUGCAUGGAAGGCAAGCUUGGCGAUUCAUAUAUGUAGAUUCCCUUCUCUGUAACCAACUCGGUGUAACCCUAGCCCCCUCCGGCGUCUAUAUAAACCGGAGGGUUUAGUCCGUGGGACAAGAACAACGAUCAUAAUCAUAGUCUAGCUUCUAGGGUUAGCCUCUACGAUCUCGUGGUAGAUCAACUCUUGUAAUACUCGUAUCAUCAACAUCAAUCAAGCAGGAAGUAGGGUAUUACCUCCAUAGAGAGGGCCCGAACCUGGGUAAACAUCGUGUCCCCCGCCUCCUAUUACCAUUAGUGUUAGAUGCAUAGUUCGAGACCCCCUACCCGAGAUCCACCGGUUUUGACACCGACAUUGCUGUUCUAGGACAAAGAGUUGAUAAGAAAUUAAAUGUUAUCCAUUAUGCUAGUAAAACUCUAGACAGUGCCCAGAGAAAUUAUGGUCCUACUAAAAAAUAAAUUUUAGCAGUUGUAUUUGCUUGUGAUAAGUUCAGAUCAUAUAUUGUUGAUUCCAAAGUAAUUGUUCACAUUGAUUAUCCUGCUAUUAAAUAUCUUAUGGAAAAUAAAGAUGCUAAACCUAGACUUAUUAGGUGGGUUCUCUUGUUACAAGAAUUUGAUUUGCAUAUUAUUGAUAGAAAGGGAGCUGAGAACCCCGUUGCAGACAACUUGUCUAGGUUAGAAAAUGUUCUUGAUGACCCAUUGCCUAUUGAUGAUAGCUUUCACGAUGAACAAUUAGCUAUCAUAAAUACUUCUCGUAAUACUCCAUGGUAUGCUGAUUAUGCUUAUUAUAUUGUUGCUAAAUUUAUACCACCUAGUUUCACAUACCAGCAAAAGAAAAAAAAUUCUAUGAUUUAAGACAUUACUCCUAGGAUGACCCACACCUUUAUAAAGAAGGAGUAGAUGGUGUUAUUAGACGUUGUGUACCUAAGCAUGAAUAGGAAUAGAUCUUAUGCAAGUGUCACUCUGAGGCAUACGAAGGACACUACGCUGGAGAUAGAACUGCACAUAAGGUAUUGCAAUCCGGUUUUAUUGGCCUACUCUCUUCAAAGAUGCUAGUAAGUUUGUCUUGUCUUGUGAUUAAUGCCAAAGAAUUGGUAAUAUUAGUAGACGUCAAGAAAUGCCUAUGAAUUAUACAAUUCUUAUUGAACCAUUUGAUCUUUGGGGCUUUGAUUAUAUGGGACCUUUUCCUUCCUCUAAUAUGGGUAUACACAUAUUAUAGUUGCUAUUGAUUAUGUUACUAAGUGGCUAGAAGCUAUACCAACUAGUAGUGCUGAUCAUAACACUUCUAUUAAGAUGCUUAAAGAAGUCAUUUUUCUGAGGUUUGGAGUCCCUAGAUAUUUAAUGACUGAUGGCGGUUCACAUUUUAUUCAUGGUGCUUUUCGUAAAAUGCUUGCUAAGUAUGAUGUUAACCAUAGAAUUGCAUCUCCUUAUCAUGCUCAUUCUAGUGGUCAAGUAGAAUUGAGUAAUAGAGAGAUUAAAUUGAUUUUACAAAAGACUGUCAAUAGAUCUAGAAAGAGGUGGUCCAAGAAACUUGAUGAUGCAUUAUGGGCUUAUAGAACUGCCUACAAAAAUCCUAUGGGUAUGUCUUCGUAUAAAAUAGUUGAUGGAAAGGCUUGUCACUUACCUCUUAAACUAGAACAUAAGGCAUAUUGAGCUAUUAAAGAGCUCAACUAUGAUUUCAAACUUGCCGGUGAGAAGAGGUUAUUUGACAUUAGCUCGUUUGGUGAAUGGAUAACCCAAGCCUACGAGAAUGCCAAGUUGUUUAAAGAAAAAGUUAAAAGAUGGCAUGACAAGAGGAUACAAAAGUGUGAGUUUAAUGUAGCUGAUCAUGUUUUGCUAUAUAACACUCGUUUAAGAUUUUUUGCAGGAAAACUUCUCUCUAAAUGGGAAGGUCCUUACAUUAUCGAGGAGGUCUAUCAUUCUGGUGCCAUCAAAAUGAACAACACCGAAGGCACAAAUCCGAAGGUAGUACACGGUCAAAGAAUCAAACAUUAUAUCUCAGGUAAUCCCAUAAAUGUUGAAACCAAUAUAAUUGACACUAUCACACCGGAGGAGUACAUAAGGGACACUUCCCAGAAUGUUUCAGACUUCGAAAAGGAAUAGGUAUGUGGUAUGACAAGUAAACCGACUCCAAAACUGUUCUAAUAGCAAUUUUUCUCCGUUUUGGAAUAUUUCAGAAAUUAGGAAAACUAAAAUUAGUCUGAAAGAGACACGAGGCAACCACACGGGUGGAGGGUGCGCCCUACCCCCCUGGGCAUGCCCCUACCUUGUGGCCACCUCGUGUGCCCUCUGGACUCCGUUUUGUUGAACUAUACUUCUUUUGGCGGUGAAAAUUCAUUAUAUAAUCUCCCGAAGGAUUUGACCACCGUACCACGACAAAAAUCUCCUGUUUUCGUUUUGAGCUGUUUUCUGCCAGAAUUUUUAAGGCCAAGCACCAUGUCCUCCUCCUGCAACAACAAUGCGGACGGUGAUGCUUGUUUGAUGCAGAUGGAACUUAGAAGGAGGGAUGCCGAGGGAGUCACGAUGGAGGAGGAUGAAAGGGAUUAGCUUGAGGACCACCCUCCGGCUUCGGAGAGAGGCACUCUUGCUGGCAUCUCCACUAUUCCCAAUCCCCAUCAAUCAAUAGGGACUACAAGCAACUGUUAAUACCAAGAGGUUCGAGAAGGGCUUCCCCCUAGAAGGCCCUUACACAGGUUACAUCGAAAUGACUUUCAUAAUUUGUUUCAUAAUUACGGAGUGGAGAACACCCCUCGUACACAUAUACCCUUGAAUUGGGACAUAUCCCGUCCAAGUGAAAGCAAUGCAGGAAAGAGUUCUUGGGGGCCUGAAAAUAAGAUCUUAUGGAGGAAAUUCAGAAGAAUGCAAAUAUUCUCCAACGCGUGCUCCAAGAACUGCAAGUUAUAAAGGUUGCAUUAAUGAAGCUAACAGAUUCAUCAACAACUCCAUCAUCACCACCUCAUAAGAAAGAGACAUAAAUACAUGGGUAUGUGAACUCCCCUUGGCAACUGCCAUGCUUGCGGGAGGUUCCUCAGUAUCAUAUCACCAUCACACUUAUAUCUUUAUCAUUUUCUUAGUUCGAUCCUUUUGGUUAUAUCUUGAUCUAGUAGGAUAAAGUUUUAUUAUGAUCUAUCUUUCAGUUUUGUUUUGAUCUCUAUCUAUGUAAUCGAGUCCGUGAGUUAUAAUAAAUAGUAGUUUUGAGUUGAGGGCUUUGCUAUCUUGCUAUGAUCUUGAGGGAAUUAAAGAAAGAACAAAAAGAAAUAAAAAGAUCAUAUGCUGAUCUUAUGGAGAGUAAUGACUUCACAUAUAAAGAGUAUGAUGACACUACAAGAAACUUGUUAAUACAUGACGGUCCUCGUCCGUCACAGAUUGACCAAAAUCUGUCAUGUGUGCCCGUCCGUGACGGAUUUGGAAUCCGUCAUGUAUAUCGCGUCAUAAUUUGACAGCGUACCUUCCAUGAUGAAUCUUGGCCGUCAUGGACCUAUCCCAGGCCCGCACAGCCCAAACUAGGCUAUAACAGAAAAACCCGUCAUCGCUUUACAUGACCUGUACCUAACGUGGCGUUUAUGUGGAUCUGACGUGGAGGCCAGCAUGGCCCAUGUAGUAACCGCCCAAUUAGGAUUUUAGCCUAAUAAUUUCAAUCCAGUCCAACCCAUUAGUUGUUUAUUUUGGUCCUGCCCAUGAGCCCACCUGAUUUAUUAGUCCAACGCAUUAGCCCUUUCUUAGUCCAGCAUUAAUGCAUCCCAAUUUACAACAAGACAAUCAAAUUAUAUCCAUUCAAAAAAUAGCAAUUGUUCACAUGACAAUACAGAGUUCCAACAAUCUAGUCUGAUUCCAAAAAACAAAUCUUAAUAUCAAAACAUCAGAAGCAUAUCUAGAAAGCGAUAUAAGCAUUUUUUUAUAUUUCAAGUAACAUAACUUCCAAGAAAAAGAUGCACUAUUAGCUGAUUUUUAAUAUCCAACACUACACCAUCGCUUCCCGACGGCUAUUCAAAGCACUUCAAUCUCCAAACUUCCAAACCUGCAUAGAAUCCAGAACAUACAUAAUUAUAACAAGUUAUAACAGCCAGCUCCCAAAUGAAUCUAGAGAGUAAUAAUAUUAGUUGAUUUUCCAAGCAAUCAUUCGAUAGACACAUCACUACUAUAUUAAGGUACCAUGAAAAUGUGGACAACACAUGCUAAAAAUAGCAUACUAGUUACAAGUUAAAAAAUUGUUCUAUAAAUGUGACAUUUUAUCAUCCAAACAUAGAAAGGUCAGCAUCAUUUUAAAACAAAGGGUGGAUAGAUCAUUUCAUAUUUGCAAAGUACAACAAAAAAUCAAAUUUAUAUGCACGUGACAUGGCUUGGUGUAUCAAAAUGGACGAUUCUGUACAAUACAAUGUAGUUCUUAGUUAACAAAACAUAAAAGUAGUAAUACCAGAGGCAUACUUUCUUCAUCAAUUAUAGCUAAUUUAUAUCAAUAAACUUGCCUUUUGCAUGUAAAAUAAAAAUAUUCAAAGGCAAGGCCAUUUCGGGCAAUAGAAUGAUCCACUUAAUUAGUGAUCUUAUUAUGCUAACAGUACAAUUCUUUACAAAGACGGAACAUUUCUGAGGAUCAGAAAACUUCAGCUAAGAACUUUAGAAUAAAGAUGAACAUAAUGGUUCAGAUUUAGUCUGAUGCUUUUAGACCAUAACCUUAUCAUCUAGACUAACCACAUGAGAAUUAUGAACAACAGUAACAUAUGUUGGAAGGAAGAAAAAAGCAUACAUUCUCCCAUUUACUGAUUAGCUUUCAUAGCAUACAAGGUACAUAAUUAUUUCUUCCCACGCUUCAAUAUGUGAUGGGAUACAAGGCACACAAUUAUCUCUGCCCACAUGAAAAUGUAUGAAGUAAAUAAUUCAAGGGAAUAUACCUAGAUCUUUUUUUCUCCAGUUCUGGUUGUAUACAUAACAUUUUAGUUUAAUUUAGCACAGCAUUCAUUAAUUAUUCUUUCCAUCAAGCUUUCACCAAUGACGUGGUGUGAAUAAUACCAAGAAAUAGAGAAUAUGCUAGUAAUAACACUAAAAUUUUGAGACUGAACAAAUGCACUAUGUAGCAAAUUGAACACUCCUAAAUCUGAAGCGAGAAUAAUAUACCAUCUUUUAGUAGUCUUAAAGAAACAUGUGUAAUCUUCAUUUCCAUCGGUCCUUGAGAUUGGAACUAUGCACACGCAUUUCCAGAAAAAAAUAGUAUAAAAUCCAUCACCUCUGCUGUAACAAGCGAAAACAACUCAGCAUCAAUUAAACUGUUAGCUUGCAAACCCAAAGAGGAAGGGAAACUGAAGGAUUGUUUAUAGAACUGUAUUAAGAAGUCAGGUAAUAUUUAAAUUGAAUAGGACAUCAAGGCAGAUAAUGAAGUUCAUUUCAAGGGUUUCACUUUGUGUCACCUAUUUGAUCAAAGCAGAAGCUAUCAGACAAAGAUUAGUAUGCUAGAGAAACAAUGAGUAUAACAUGAUGAAGAUGUACUCUCAUCAAUGUUAGGAAGUGAAAUGCAAAGUAACAACUCCAGUGUUUGCAUAGAACACACCAGUCUUGCAUCCACAUUGUUUGCAACCAUAUUAAUACAAAACUUAAAGAUUCAAUCAGAAAGCAGAAGAAUAAGGGAGGAAUAACCCACUAUCCCAGUGACAGCAAACAGCAAAGCAUAACAAACAGAGGAAGAAAUCAAUCUAAUCGCCCUGGUCACGUAGGCCAGCCAAUGGACAGAUGUGUAGGGCAAGCUAUUACUGUGAUUACUUUGAACAAACGUGUAGUGCAACAUCGAUGUCACAACAUCCGUCAGUUUUACUUGUUGCUCUUUAGGGGCGUGUGGCUUCCUGGCUACAACAUCAACAGCAGCAACAUGACAGGGGGUCAAAAAAACUCGACCUUGGGAGGCAAGAGUGCGAGGCCAAGCAGGCGGUGGUGUGCGGUUUUCUUCUUUUCGUUUGUUUUCAGGCAGGAGGGCAACUCGUUUAUCCAAUCUGUAGGAGACUACAAUCAACUUGGAACUCAAUUACUAAAUUAAUUAGAGAUUGUGAAGAACCUGCAGGUUUAAUUCCCAUUAUUGGAUUUCUUGCAUUGUUGUACUACAGCCAACAACAUUUCAACCUAGUGAAUAUUGAAGUUGCAGCAUUGGAAACCCCACAACCAACGUCCAGUAACGGGAUACAAACAAAAGUCUAAAAUUGUACCCCUAAAAUACAUCUAGAACUCAAGUACAAGCAAGCCAUUUGCCGAGAUGCACUCACCAUCUAAUGAAAUCAAUGCGGCCAGUGCCAUCCGCUCCACCUUGCAAUAUUGCCAAGUCUCAUGCUAGUGAUGAAAUUGGCUUGACCUUUCUUCCGAGUUCUAAU